rnacentral:lncRNA from 1 species
AUCUCGAAACAACACCGAUAUUUCCAAACUAUCCUUUGCUAAUGAAUAUCGAUGAUCUCCAAUCAUAAAUCUCGCCGCACUAAAGGCUUGCUCCGAAGCAACCGAUGAUGCUUGAAUCGCUAGCACAUCUCGAACAAUCCUAGCAAGGGUCGGAAAUUGAUUUUCACGAUUCUUCCACCAUACUAAUAUUGGAGCUUGAAGUUGUCCUUCUUCAUGCCUAAUCUUUUCCCGUGCCUGAUUGAAAUAUAAAUCAAAAUCAUUAUUAGUAGAUGAUUCAAGCUCAAGAUAAUCAUAUAUCCAAUCAUCUGUAUCAUCGCUUCUAGGUUUACAAGAUGGAGGUUCAACUAUUGGAAUAUUUUUUUCCAUAGAUUUAUAUGUAUUAUAUAACUCUCUAGCUUUUAUAUAUAUGCUACUUUUACAAUCUUCAACACUAGGAGUUUCAUCAUCUCUAAUUUCUAAAUUUGCAUAAAUCUUUUCAACCAUUCUUUCAACACCUUUUAAUUUGUAAUUUGGGUUGAAAGUAGUAGCAGUCAAAUAGAUUUGAGGAAUAGGGAAAAAAUAUUUUUUGAAUUUUUCAAUCAUAAAAGCAAGGGAAUUUUCAAAUCGAUCUUUUCCUUUAUAUUUUGCAAAUUCAGAUGAAAUAGCACAAAUAUUUACUAAAACAGAAGAAAUAGUUGGAUAAUAUUGACCAGAAGCAGCAUUUGUUGCUUUAUAAAAAACACUUAAAAAUUCAAUAAGUUCUUUUGUAUUUUCCCAAUAUUCAUAGCCAAUUCUCAAAUUCGGUUCCGCAUUAUGAGCAUUAAAAACUAAUUAUACCGGCUCUUGAUAAAUAUAAGCAACUUGAAGCAUUUCAAAUAAAGAAUUCCAUCUAGUGCAUACUUCUUUUGGAACUUUUCUAUAUUCAAGUCCACAUUCUUUACAACGAUUUUUAAAUUCUGUAAUUCUAGCUUUUAUUUUAGCUUUAAAAAUCCAAUUACAAGCAAGUCUAAUUUUUUCACAAGAAAUUCCAAAUUGAGAAACACCAUCCUUUACUAUCAAAUUAUACACAUGUGCGGCACACUUAAUAUGAAAAGAAUCAUUAUCAAUUGGACAAAGUCUACAUUUUAAAUAAUCAAUUGCUUUCAAAUUAUUAAAAGCAUUAUCUAAAGUGACACUCAUUAUUUUAUCACAUAUUCCAUAAAAUUGUAAAACAAGGCCUAUUUUUGUUGCUAUAUAAGCACCGGUUUUAGUUUCUUCAACAUAUUUAUAUCCUAAUAUUCGUUUUUGCAUGUUCCAUUCAUGGUCAAUCCAAUGGACAGUAAUUGUAAAAUAAUCAUUACCAUUAGGACUACGUCCCAUAUCAGAAGUAAUAGAUAAUCUACCAUCAUAAUAAACAAAUAAACAACGAAGAAAAUGACAAUAUUCUUUUUGAUAUUUAAAAAGAUCACUUUUAAUUGUACUUCUUGGAAUACCUUCAUAAUCUGGGUUAUACAAUUCCCGAAUAUACUGAAUAAAACCAGGAUGGGAAGGAAAUGAAAAAGACAAACCACAAACAGCAACCAUUUUAGCUAAUUCUCUACGAUCUUUUUCUUUACUAUAUGUGCGGUGUGUGCUUCGGCUAGCCGGGAUAGUCAUAUUUAAUUCACUUUGAACCAUAUUAGAACCUCCAACUCCCAUAGAAUUUUCAGGUAUGGGUAUUCCAUUUCUAUUAGCCCUUUCUAUAUCAUCUAGGCGAGCAAAUUCUUUAUUACACUUUCUCAAAUGUGUUCUUAGUCGUCCCGUUCCCCCUUGUGUACCCGUAGUUACAUGUUUCAUGAUCAAUUUACAUUUCGUACAAGUAACAGUAGUUUUUUCCUCAUUUUGUACCAAAAAUUUCCAUACUAAAGAUCUUUUAACACGUACAACGGUCUUUGAAAAAGUAGGUAAAGAAGGGACUUCAUCUUGUUCCGGUAAUUCGGUAGCCGGACUAGUAGGGGUAGGGGUCUCAUCAUCUUCCUCAUUUAUUUCUACUUCCUCAUCUAAUUCUUCCUCAAAAUUAGUAAAACAUCUAUUUAAAGUUUCAUGAUCUACUUCAUUUUCGGAAUUAAACUCAAUAGGUCGUGAGUCUCGUGUAAAAGAAGUUUCAUCAACAUGAAUAUAAUCAUUAAUAUUAAUUCUAAAUCUAGGAGGUGGCAAAUUUUUAGAAUUAGAACUACUUCCUCCUCCCCUAUUAUUUUUUCUUUCCGACAUUGGUCUUUUACCACUAUAUUUUUCAAAAUUCAUGUUCAAGUUUAAAAUAAUUAAUAUUAUGAAAAACAAGCAAAGAUAAUAUAACAAAAAAAUAAAAUAACUUAAUUAAUAAACAAAUAAAAAAUUAAAGUUGGAACGAAUGUACCGAACGUCUACGUAAAAAUAGACGUAUAACCAAAGCCGGAAUUGAGAGAUGCCAAUUGAAGCUUCCGAAUUACUUCAAAUAAAUCUCCGAAAUUCGAACUCCAAGUCAAUAUCACAAAAUAAUAAUUAUGAAUUUAUGAGAGAUUGAAAAUUAAGAGAUUUUAUAAGAUAGUUUGUGAAUUUGUGAUUUAAAUGAAAAAAUAUGAGUAUAUAAAAAAAAUAAAUAAAUUAAAUUGACCGUUGAACCAGAUCGGAACCGGUUCUUACCAGACCGGAACCGGUUCUUACCGGACCGGAACCGGUUCUUACCGGACCGGAUCAACCGGAUAAAAAUCCGGGUUCCGUUUCGGUACCGGUUCCGGUACCUAUAAGACCGGUUCAACCGGUAACGGUCUUACCGGUACGGGAACCGGACCGGAACCGUACUGGACCGGACAAAAUCCGGUCGGUUUGCCAACCUUAGUUAAGACCAGGUUUGUUAUUUCAGUUCCUUUUAAGCUUGUCCUGUUUUAGUAUUCCCCUCACAUGCUCAUACAUUCAAUGUACUGACGCCAUUUGACCUUCAUCAUUUUAUGAUGUAGAUACAGGUAACCAGGAUCAGCAACCAGUGCUUCGUUGAUUUUAGUUGAGCUCCAGAGUUGUUGGUGGGCCUCCUUGCUUUCAUAGGAUGCCUUUUAUUGCUUUCAGUAUUUAGUUGAUUAGGAUGUCGUGGGUCUUGUCCUGAAAUCCAUCUCAGUUAUUAGAGGCUCCAUAGAUAGUCAGUCAGUUAGUUCAUUUGUCACUAUUUUAUUAUUGGCUUAUGUUUUGAGACUUGAGCCAUCUUAACUAGUUUGAAUGUUUCUUUUAAGACAUUCUAAGUUUAUUUCAUAAGUUCCUUAUUUGAGACUAUUUCCUUGUGGUCAAGUCUUCCAUUGAGUAGAUAGCCAGGCCAAGGGUUUGCUUGGGCCUAGCAAUGGUUCUCGAGUGCCUGUCCCGCCUAGGGUGUAUGCUCUGUGCAUGACAACCCCCUUCUAUUUCCGUCACCAAACAAACCACAUUCUGAAAAGAUUUUUGCUAAAAUAGCCACAUAUAAGAUUAAAUAUGAAAUCUUACUUUAAUCCCUUCAAAACACGACGAAUUUCUUUUCUAGACUGAAACAAAGUGGAGUACCAUAUUUGGAUAAAACACAACCCUUUGCCUUAAAGGCUGCAACAAAUACAUUAUGUUUCUCUAUAUUCAGGAACUCAUCUCUCCUCCUAUCCCUUAAAGUUCAGGGUAUAUACUUCUCCAUACAUUAAGUUAUAAAGUGUUUCCCAAGUCAUGAGUAGUUCAUUUACUAGUCGACAUUCAACAUCAGACCACCACCACAAUUCACAGUCUCCCUUGAAUUGAUAUGUCACAAACUCAACCCCAAACCUCUCCACUAUAUUCAACUUAUGAAGCAACUCAUGACAGUCAACAAGGAAAAUCCUAAACAUCUUCAUAUUCAGUACCCAUGAAGAAUGAAGGUUUCAACCUUAAGAACGUAAUAAAAACCUCAUGUUUGUCUCUAGUAAUUACAUGCCCACAGUAACUCAGAGAAACAAACCUAUUUCCAAGGACACAUUUUCUAUUGUUGGUGUUAUUGUUUCCACCUUUACAACUCAAUUACUAACCAGAUGCAAAAAUAUAGUGAAGAAAUUGAGAUACCAAUUUGUGUCACCUACAUACCAAUUAGAUUCAAGUCAUAGCACGAAAGAAGUAGAAAUAAAUGAGUUUUUCCUAAAGUCCUAUAGCCUCUCAAAGAAAAGUACAAAUGUCUCCAUACCGUUUCGCAAAACUUUACUAGACUCAUUUUAGUACAAUGAGAUUAACGAACCUAGGGCUCUAAUACCAACUUUGUCACGACCCAGACCAUCGUGAUUGCCACCCACACUAACCCUCUGAUCGGAGAACCAUUAAUACUAGUCAGGUGACCUAAGAACUAAACAUUUAAAGAUACGGAAGGAGGUUUAAAUGACCAAAAGAAAUACAGAGUUCCCAUAAACUCCAAAGGUUUAAACAAAUAACUAACAAAACUAAUGCAGAAGUAUUAACCCUUAGAACUUGAAAGUCAUUGUACCAAAACAUCUAAAUUCAACAAGUCUAAGGAAAUGGGUACAACCCAAAACUAAUCAUAAAAAACAUCUAACAAUAGUCUGAGUCCAAAGAUAAUGGAGUAAACAAAAAUGAAGGAUUUCGUGAAAGCCUGAAAGAACUGGCUUACCAUUGAAAUCCGGUCUUGAUCACUGAUCUCCUAGCUGAGGUUCAUCAAUAGCCGGCUGAAGAUGCCCUGUACUUAACAAAUAAUUAGUAAGUGCAGUAUCAGUACACAACCACAUUGUAAAGGUAGGAUCACAUAGCUAUUCCAGUAAGUGAAACAUAUAUAAGAAUUCACAACAUAGUAAACAUGAUGUACAUAAUAUUUAUACACAUUAGUUAUCAUUUUAGAGCAACAAACAGUCUUCCAAUAUCAAUCACCAUUAUAUAUGAGCGGAAUCAUCACAAGUAGAUACACAACUAAAUUCAAUUGUUCUCUCACGGAACCCAAUUCAAUGGUCCUCUUAUGGAACCCAUUCCCAAACUAUUAGCGUACCAGAACGUGGUACUUGAUCCCAAUUAUUGUGCCGAAUCUGACACCCGAUCCCAUAGAUGCACCAGAACGUGGCACCCGAUCUAAGUUAGUGUGUCGGAAAGUGACACCUGAUCAAAUCAUCAUACCACAAUCACAACCACAAUGCACAUUCUCAUAAUCAUACAAUCAAGUGUUGAUUCAUGGCAUACAAUCAUUCAUUCAUACUCAUUUACAUUAGGUUUGUUCAAUAGUGCUACAUUCACAUACAUACAUGCAUUACAACGAAGCAAUUACCUAUAUACGUCACACAAACAUGAAAUCAAACCAUCACCUUCCUCGAACCCAAGUUUGAAUCCUCCUAAGAAACAUGUAUCUUCCCUUUCCUAAUUCUUUUCACUUGUUCGUGGUCUAAAAACAAAAAAAUAAUGCAAGGAUCAAUAAACAAGGCCUAAUUACCCAGAUUAUAAUUAACAUUAUCAACCCUAGUCCAACCCAAGAUCCCAAUACCCAAUUUUGGGAUUUUUCCAUUAUUAAUUGCAGGUCAAAACCUUUCCCCAAUAAUAAUUACCCAAGAAUCUAAGUUCUACGGACCGAAAAAUGGAUUAAGGGAGUAAAUAUUUAACCUUUAGUGCUAGAAGAGGUGGAAAACCUUCAAGAAAUAGUCUUGGGUCAUUUCUUAGCUCUCAAGAAUGAACUUUUGCAGAAAAUGACAUUUUUGGGGGUAUUUACCUUAUUUAAGUUGGGACUGUGCCGCUACAGCAGGACCCAUCCCGGUACAGCGGGGUCCAUCCCGCUACAGCAGCCUGCACGGAGACACAAUGUUUGAAUUUGAGUUCCAAGCCCCCAUUUCACAACACACUUUCAACAUUUGACAUUCAAAAACUACCCGUUCACGCUAAGAUCAGUUUUGGGAAUUCUACUCGCCCGAAUUUGAUUACGUAAAGUCGCACGGUUUAUGUAACGUCUUGGCUAUCCACUCAUGUCAUCAAAUUAAUUAUUAAAUCUAUCAUGAAAUACCAGAUUUUCCUAGACCUUACUGACUUAGAUUUUGUCCAAAUCUGGACUAGGCUAGGAAUUCCCAAGUUACUACUCAAAAGUUUUCUUGCCCCAAUUCUCUCUCCAUUGCUUUUUCCAUAACGAUGGGAACAGGUCAUUACAAGUAUCCUGAAAGAAAGAUAUGACCACUUGAAGAUGGUCAUACAUCCUAAAAUGCACGAUAUGAUUGGAUGCAUCUAAGUCUACAAGACUUUAAGUCUGGAUUAUAAUUCAACUAUGUUCAAAUCACUUCUCAGUUGAAACUAUGUAGAGAAACGGUUAGUGAGAUUGAUAUGAUAGAAAAGAUGUUCUCCAUUUUUUAUGCCUCAAAUGAUCUCCUGGAGAAACAAUAUCGAGAGAAAGGUUUCAAAAAGUAUUCUAAACUAAUUUCUCAUCUUCUCGUGGCUGAGAAAAAUAAUGAUUUAUUAAUGAAAAAUAAUGAGAAUCGACUUAAUGUGUCUGAACCACUUCCUGAUGUGAAUGAGGGGUACACCCACCAUGCAAGGCAUGAAAAAGGUCGUGGACCUGAUCGUGGUGGUGAACGUGGACGUUGGUCGUAAUUAUGGUCAAGAAAGAAAUUAUUUUCCUGGUGUUCAUCAUUCAUCAAAUAAAAAUCACCAUCAAAAGGACAAAAUAAAGGAUGAGAAACGUGAAGCAAUUAGGGCAGAUUUUGUUUGAUGUGGUGGAAAAGGUCAUUGUGCACGUGAUUAUCGUACUGUUAAACACUUGGUUGAAAUUUACCAAGAUUUGCUAAAGAAGAAACAGAAAAAUUUUGAAGCGAAUUUUGUCUCUAAAAAUCAAGUUGAUAUCACACACUUGGAUGUUGCAGAUUUCUUCGCACAUCCUCAAGAAAUGAUAGAUUACUUGAUUGGUGAUGGUUCUGUGGCCAUGGAGGAGUGAACAUCUUGUUUAUCUUUUUUUAUUAGUUAUUAAAUAAAACCUGUAAAGAUAGUUGUUUACAUGAGUGUUAGUUUUUCUUUUUUUAGUUAGUAUUAAUUAGUUUUGUAAUUCAUUAUUGAAUUGAAGUUGAAUUUGAUUUUGACUUAGUUAAAUAAUAUUUUUAUAUUUUAUUUGCUUGCUAAAAUGAAAAGAAAAAAAACUGCAUCUUAUUAAUGUCAUUGAUUAAUGUACAUUUUAUUUGUAUUUUAAUCUCGGAUAUUUGAGCUGAUUUUUAUAUUUGGAAAAGUUUUCGAGGAAUAUUUUUUAGUCAAACACUAAACCCUAUUAUGUGUUUAUAAUAAACUAAGAGUUAAAUUGGUCUAGUGAAUAAAUAAUACAACUACUAUUAGUUUGUAUUCUACUAGAUUUUGUAUAUUUUUAUUGUAUGAUGGUUGAAUUUUUAAUAUAUUGAGUGUAUUAAGUAUAUCAAAAAUAGUGUGUUGAAAAGCUAUUGAAUAUCUAUUUAAUUAUUGUACACUAAUUAAUGCAUUUUUUACUUGUAAAAUGUCAAGUAACACAACUUAUUUAUAUAAGCAUGAAAAAAUAAAAUAAAUAAUAUACAUUGGUAUACUAUAUGUUGUGUUUAUUACUAUUUUAAUUACAUAUUAGAAGAUGGUUAUACGUUUAUUAUACUAUCUAACUUUUACUUUGUAACAAAGGCUUAAUAAAUAUUUAUUUCACUUUAUUUGAAGAUAUGGACAAUUCUCAAAGCAUAUUAUCUAAUUAUGAAGACAUUUGCUUGAUUGAUUCUGGUACAACACAUACGAUAUUCAAAUAUGAGAAAUAUUUUUCUCAUUUAAGUAUGAGCAAAAUAAAUGUUACAAUAAUUUUUGGUAGUACUAAUACUAUUGAGGGAUUUGGAAGAACCAUAAUAAUUUUGUGUAGGGGAACUAAACUCAUCAUAAAUAAUGCUAUGUUUUCUCCCAAGUCUUGGAGAAACUUGUUGAAUUUUAAAGAUACUCAUAAAAAUGGUUAUCAUAUCUAAUCAAUGGAUGAAAUAAAUCUUGAAUAUCUUGGUAUCACCAAAUAUGUUUCUGGGCAGACAUGCAUUAUAGAAAGUUUUCUGCUUUAUCUUUUGGCUUGUAAAGGAAAAGAAUUAUUGCAAUUGAGGCAAAUUCUAUAGUAAAUUAGAUGUUUCUUGAUUUGAAUACUUUUGUACUUUGGCAUGAUUGUCUAGAACAUCCUGGGUCUAUAAUGAUGAGAUGAAUUAUAGAAAAUUUAAAUGGACAUCCAUUAAAGGAGCUAAAAAUUCUUUUAAAUGGUGAAUUUUGUUGUACUACUUGUUAUCAAGACAAGUGAAUUGUGAGAGCAUCACCAAUGAAAGUUGAGAUUAAGUCCCCUGCGUUCUUGGAACAUAUACAUGAGAAAAUUUGUGGACCUAUUAACCCACCUAGUGUGUCGUUUAGAUACUUUAUGGUCCUAAUAGAUGCUUCUUCUAGAUGGUCUCAUGCAUGCCUAUUGUCAUCUCGUAACUUGACAUUUGAAUUUUUUUGGCACAAAUAAUAAUAUUAAGGGCACAAUUUUCUGAUAAUCAGAUUAAGUCUAUUCGCCUUGAGAAUGCUGCAGACUUUUCGUCCCAAUCAUUUAAUGAUUAUUGCCCAUCAAUUGGGAUAAAAGUUGAACACCAUGUUGCUCAUGUUCAUAGUCAGAAUGGCCUUUGUUGAGUCAUUAAUUAAACGUCUGCAGUUUAUAGCAAGAUUGUCAUGCCCUGAGUCUACCCCUAGACGCAACACGAGACCUUGGAUCAUGAGUGACCCCAAGCUAACCCUGUUGGCAUAAUCAUAAUCAUACUAAAGAUAAAAUGAAUCAAUAAUAACUAAGCGAAAGCUAAAUCAUGAUAAAACUGAAAUGAUGGGGAAUACCCAUACACUAAAUCUAAAUCUGAAUAAAGAUAACUGAGAGUUUGAAUACAAAAUAAAAGUUAAAGUCUAAGACUAAAGCUGAAACUAACUAUGUCUGAAAUAAAGCCUCUACUGACUAGAAAUGCUGGGAUAUCCCCUAGCUAGAUUUAGUAAAUCUGAAACUACAGCUAAAAGCGAUAAAUAAUCAUGUCACUAGUCCUCGAAGAAUGAGGACUCACCACUGAUGUUGCUGUACUGAAGAUCGGGAACCGAUCUAUGCAUGAUCUCGAAGCUAAGAACCUAAACCUACAUCACGAGAAGAUGUAGCACAGAGUAUCCGUCAGUACUUAAAAGGUAGUGAGCAUGUAGGAUAGAGUAACACUGAACAAUAACAUAACUGAAUCAAACCAUAUAACUGAGCAAUGACAUGAGAUAAGCAUGAGACCAACUGAGAACACUGAACAUGAAAUACUGAAUCCAAUGACCAAGUUUAUAACAUGUUGAGACUGAUUAUUGAACUAUACUGAUAACAUGGUCAAUGCAAUAGAAUCAGACUGAAAUGUAAGAGGGCUACUAAUAACCAACACAAAACCACAUGAGAUAAAUGUGGAGUUUGAUGUAUACGCCCCAUCGAGAGGACCCAAUAUACCUUGCCAGAGGUAUAAAGGCAUGCUGGCGUAAUCACUAAAAUGAUGCCCACAGAGGGGACUUAUAACCUAUGGGGCAUGUAGUUCUGGGACUUGAGGGUGUCUGACCCUAGUCCACUCGGUAAUAAGCUUUCCAAUUGAUUAAGUAAUUUAACAUUUUUAUUACUGAAGUUCUGUAAUACUAGAUAGCUCAAAUAGUGACAUGCAAACUCUGAGAAUGUAACAAUCAUUACUUAUAAUGUGACAUUCGUAAACUGAAGCAUGCGUAUAUCUGGAAUAACUGAAUAAUCUGACCUAUCAUGCAUAAUUCAUGAACUAACGAAUAUAUACAAGUACGGUUCUAAACAUAAUACGAGAAAUUGAGUAAUAACAUGAUAAUCUGAUUCAGAUCAUUGAAGUAGGUAAUUCAUGAUACUCUAGUAAUGUUCUAGAAACUCCAAGUCUAGAUAAUAAUAAGGGAAUCAAGAAGCUGACUGAAAUCUAGGGAUCCAAUGGGUGAAAGGAACCCACUUGUAAAAUCCCACAUACAUGGUGAUGAAUUCCACGGAGAAAUCAUUCGAUUUUGGAGCUGGAACUGAUGGAAUCUUGUUGUGUUCUUGAACUAGGGUUGCUUGACCUCUUUCUCCUCUUACACUCUAAAUUUUUCUAAGUUUUGAUGAAUGAUUUGACUUAGGUAAGUUCUAAUUACGUUUCUAGGCUAAAACUGACCAAAACCACAUAAUUUAGGGGUUAAACGACGUAGUUUAAGUUCCCAACGAAUAGGGAAAAAGACCGAAAUAACCCUACUUAAAAAUCUGACGAGGCUGACCACAGCCACUUUCACAGACCGUGAAAGAGACCAAGGACCAUGGGACCAGUCGUAGUCUUUGGCCAGUGGCUACUAGUCAGGGAGGUCUGGUCCACGAGCCCCUACCACGGUCGUGUGGAGUACCACGGACUGUGAAGGUCCCCAUGGUCCUCACUUGGGCUAAGGUCUGGAAUCUCAGGUAUGAGGGUCUUCUGGAUGGCCUUCACAGACGCCCCCACGACCCAUUUUCAGGACCACGGACCGUGAAGGUCCUCAUGGUCCUUACUUCGGCAAGGGGGGGUCUUAAAGCUAUGCUUGGGGGCCAACAGGCUAAGCCCCUACGGACACCACCACUGUCCGUCGUCAAGACCACGGCCCGUGAAGGGUCCUGUGGUCUGACGUCUGGGCCUAGUGGAGUUUAACUCCAGACCACGGGCAUGUUAACGGACCGUGUACCCUAUCACGGUCCGUGAAACCUGUCGUGGUUCACUGCUUCAAGUAAAUUUUCUACAAUUUUUAUGUAGGUCUGUUUUCCGAAGUGUUACAAAGAUCAUCGCUUCUGCAAACUAGGUUGUCCACUUUUAUAAGGGGUCAUGCAAAUUUUGCAUGCUGGAACACUUUUUCGUCUCAGACCGACAAAUUGUCAUAAAUUUUCUCCAUUGCAAUUGAUUAUGGGUCAAGACCCUAAUAUAUCCCAUUUAAGAAUUUUUGAAUGUGAUGUACAUGUGCCUGUAGCACCACCAAACCACACUAAGACGAUGGACCCUCAAAGAAGGUUAGGAAAUAUGUUAGGUUUGAAUUUCCCUCCAUUAUUCUCUAUCUUGAACUAUUAACUGGAGACAUAUUUACUGUUCAAUUUGCAUAUUAUCAGUUUGAUGAGACAAUUUUCCCAAAAUUAGGGGGGUAAUAGUGACAUAAAAAGACAAAUUUUGUGGAAAAUUUCAUCAUUGUCUCAUCUUGAUCCAUGUUCUUCUAUUUAUGAGCAAGAAGUACAAAAGAUCAUUUACAUGCAGAAAAUUACAAAUCAAAUGUCAGACGCAUUUACACAUUUGGAAAGGAUUACUAAAUCACAUAUUCCUACAAAGAAUGUCCCAAUUCAAAUUGAUGUCCCUAUAGGAUCAUCCACUAGUGUCGUAGCUAAUGAGUCAAAAUCACACUCAAAGCGUGGUAGACCAUUGGGUUCUAAGGAUCAAAAUCCUAGAAUAAGGAAAAGUUGAAGGCCAAGAUAGCACUAUAAAAUAAUCUCAUAUGGAAGUUCAAAAUUUGAAUAAUUCUGAUAUCCAUGAAGGAAUCAAUAAGCCUGAGACUCAAGAAAAUAAUGAACUAUUCUUAAAUUCAAGAGAUAUCGAAAUUAAUCGAAAUCAGAAAUAGUGGUUGAUUAUGUCUUUGCAUAUAAUGUUUCAAAAAAAUCAUGCAAGAUAGUGAGGAUCUUGAACCUUUAUAUGUUGUAGAAUGUCAACAAAAAAUGGUUGAACAAAAUGGCAAGAAGCAAUUCAAUCAUAAUUGAAUUCACUUGUCAAGCGUGAUGUUUUUGGACCUUUAGUUCAAAAACCUAAUGACAUUAAACCUGUUGGCUAUAAAUGAAUUUUUGUACGAAAAGGAAAUGAGAAAAAUGAAAUACAAAGGUAUAAAGCACGCCUUGUUGGACAUGAAUUUUCACAAAAGCCUGGUGUCGAUUAUGAAGAUACAUACUCACUCGUUAUGGAUGCAAUAACAUUACAAUUAUCUCAUUAGUUUCACAAUCCAUGAGAGACUUGAAACACAUUUUAUGAAUGUGGUUACAACCUAUCUUUAUAGAUCACUUGAUAAUGAGAUAUACAUUAAAAUUCUUGAAGGAUUUACGAUGACUAAAGCAAGUAGUUUAAAAUCUUGGGAAAUGUAUUCAAUUAAAUUGUAAAGAUCAUUGUAUGGUUUGAAGCAAUCUGGACGCAUGUGGUACAACCGUCUUAGUGAGUAUUUAUUUAAGGAAGGUUUUACAAAUAAUGCAAUUUUCCCAUGUAUUUUUUAUAAGGAAAACAAUAUUAGAAUUUGUUAUACUUGUUGUUUAUGUUGAUGACAUAAACCUUAUUGGAACUAUUGGCUUCAACAUGAAUUGAUUAUUUAAAGACUAAAUUCGAGAUGAAAGAUCUUGGUAGGAUAAAUGUAUGUCUUAGUUUGCAAAUUGAGCAUUUGACAAACAUUUUUUUUGUCCAUCAAUCUGCCUACAUAGAAAUGUGUUGAAAAGAUUAUGUAUGGAUGAAGCGCAUCCAUUAAGUACUCCGAUGGUUGUUGGUUCACUUGAUGUGAAUAAGGAUCCAUUCAAACCUCAAGAAAAUAAUGAGGAAAUACUCGGUUCUAAAGUACCAUAUCUUAGUGCAAUUGGUGUACUAAUGUAUCUUUCUAACACUACGAGGCCUGAUAAAGCCUUUUCAGUUAGUUUGUUAGCAAGGUAUUAUUUUGUUCUUACUAGGAGACAUUGGGAAUGGAUCAAACACAUAUAAUGAUAUUUAAAAGGAACUACCGAUAAGAGCUUAUUUUAUUCUAACAAAUGCAGUCCCAAUUUUCUUGGUUAUGUUGAUACAGGAUAUUUAUUUGACCAACACAACACUUGAUCUCAAACAAGCUAUGUGUUUAUAUGUGGGGGUACUACCAUAUCUUGGAGAUCUACAAAGCAGUAUAUCGUAGCCACUUCAUCAAAUCAUGCUGAGAUAAUAGGCAUUCAUGAAGUAAAUAGAGAAUGUGUCUGGUUGAGGUAUAUGAUACAUCUCAUUCGAGAAAAAUGUUGUUUGGAGUGUGACAAAGUACCCACCACUUUAUGUGAAGAUAAUGCAGCAUGCAUAGCCCAACUAAAGGGAGGAUUCAUCAAAGGAGAUAGAAAUAAGUACAUUUCGCAAAAGCAUUUCUACACACAUGAUCUCCAAAAGAAUGGUGAUAUAAAUGUAUAGCACAACUAAAGGGAGGAUUCAUAAAAGGAGAUAGAAAAAAGCACAUUUUGCAAAAACUUUUCUACACACAUGAGCUCCAAAAUAAUGGUGAUAUAAAUAUGCAACAGAUUCGUUCAAGUGACAAUGUAGCUGACCUAUUCACCGAGUAUCUAUUAAUUGAAACUUUCAAAAAGAUGGUUGUCACGCCCCGAGCCUACACCCUGGGAGGGACCGGCACUCGAAGAACAUUCCUGGCCCCAAGCGAACCCUUGGCCUGGCUUACUUAACUCAACAGAAUAACUCCAUGCAAUGAAAGGUCAUAAAACAACCUAACUGAUAAAAUCUGGGCAAAAAGGCAACUUGUGUCUCCAAAUAGAAUAUAUUUAUAUAUAUAUAUACACAGAUGAGAGACUCAAUUCUAACUGAUUGACUAUCUAUGAAGCCUCUAUAACACUGAGAUGGAUGUUGGGAAAGACCCCGAAACAUCCUAAUAAAGGAAAACUAAGAAAAACAAAAUAACCGAGUCCUCCGAAAUGCAAAGAGGCUCACCACUGACUCUGGAGUGCUUAGCUAGAUCAACGGCGUGCUGGAUGCUGAUCCUGGUUACCUGUGUCUGCAUCAUAAUAAAAUGUAGGCUAAUUGGUAUCAGUAAAUUGAAUGUAUGAGUAUGCGAGCUGGAAAGCUAAACAACAACUUAAGCUUGAAAGGAGUACAAAGGAACACUUACAUUGGCUCUAUUCUACUCGUGAAUAACCGAAUUCAAUAUAGAGCAAUAAGACACAUGCAAUAAAUAAAGAUUGUAAAACAGUGUAAAAAACUUAGUUCGUUAAGGAUAAAACGAUAACAAACUCAACUUUACUUAUAUAAAAGUAAUAUAAUUUUAGUGGGAGAUUCUUUAAUCGACAACCACCACUAUGAGCCCUAGUGAUGAUACAAUGUUUUACCUCACGUUGCCCAAGGGCCAUCCUAUACCUUGCCUUGAUAUAGGACCUUACUUAACUUAGUGGAUCUACUAGCUUAACUUACGUGAUCAUCUAAAAAGAAUGACCCGUUAGAUCUCAUGUUGGCUACAUGGUUCUUAUGUAAAGUUGAGUUAAUAUGAACAAGAGUCCCCAAUUCGGUGCUCAAUACUAUUCCCAAAAAUACUUUAGCUCAUAAGUGUUUUAAACACAUCUUUCUUUAGUUUGAGAUAAUUGUUCAAAGCUUAGCCCAAAGGCUCUCUUGGUAAACAUGGUUCCUUUCUUAUUCAAAUCUGAAAACAUUUAUAAACUUCUUUGGGAAUACUUAGUUCCCUAAUAACUUUUGAGAAAUAAACUCAACUCUAUACUUUGCUUGAAACUUGAGCCUUAAAACGAAGUUAAACGUUCAUUAAAGACUCUUGAAAACUUUAAAAAAAAACUUGCUUUGACUUACUUCUUAACUUCUAGACUUGGCUCUAACUUCACUUGACUUUGAUCCUAACUUUCCUCGAAUUGGAUUAUGGAUUCAAGGGUAAUGAUCUCAUGUUUAUAGAUGAGUUCGUGAUGUUUAGAUGUACCUUAGAGUGUUAAAAUCAACUAGAAAAUAUAGGUACAUUACCAAGGAACAUGUAUGAAAAAGUGGGGAAGGAAUGGGGAGGAUUGGCAUCCUUGGCGCUCUGAGAGGCACGGGGAACCAGCCCUCAAAUUGCAGAAGACCUGCUGGGCGGACUGCAUGGCGCGCAUCCCCAAGAGGGGAACUUGAGAGCCUCUUUUGGGGCCCGCUGGCUGGCGCGACGACCCAAUCUUUUCCCCAGAAAAUUUGACUUUUCUCCUUAGUUUCACCAACUCUAAACCCUCUCAACAACAAAGGUUCUUUCCCCAAACACUCAUAAUCAUUAAAACCCUCAAUAUACAAUAGAUUCAACUAGAAAUUCCAUCCGAAAAAAUGUACCAAAUAAAUAAGAAACUUCAACACAACCACAAGAAUUCAACAAACACAACCAAUCCAUUUUUUCGGAAUUAAAACAAGUUUGGCGUGUGGGGGAUGAACCAACCCCACACUAUAUGCUCUCACAUACCUUAAUAGUGAUCAGCCCCGACGAAAUCCACGACGAUCUUGACAAACCUUGCCUCUUCUUCACUUUCUCCUCUUCUUUCUCUCUUAUUUCUCAAACCCUAACUCUCACUUUUAAAAGAGAAAACUGAUUUAAAAUCAGCUUAGACCCUUAAUAUAACCAAAAGAAAUGGUUAGGAAAAAGACCAAACUACCCUUAAAAAUUCGGAUUGAACUUCCUUAUGCUAACAACCCAACUUCCAAAGGGCAUAACUCACUCAUACGAACUCGGAAUCGAGCAAACUCUGCGGCAUUGGAAAGAUCAUUCCAAACAUAACUGGCAAUAAACCUAACUCAUUCUGAGCUAGGAGUUAUGACUAUUUGAAGUUGACCAAAAACUCCUUUUUUUCCAUAACUAAAUUUCCAGAAUUUUGUAUUCUUUCCAAAAAUGACCAUUUCCAAUUAUGAACUUCUUCAUAGUUAUUUCAAUUUGAAAGAAGUUACAAUAUCUCCCCCUUGGGAACAUUCGUCAUCGAAUGAGAUUACUCUAACUAGGCUAAGGGUGUAACCUCAAACUCAAACACCCCAUAAACUAUCAUGCAAACAACAACAACAUGCUCACUAUGAUUAAAGAGCACUAAGACGGAAAUUAGUACCUUGAUCUGCAUUUCCUCCAGAUUCGAAGAGAUGUGGAUAUCUCUUCUUCAUGUCCUCUUCGGCUUCCCAAGUAGCUUCCUCAACAAAUUGGUUCCUCCAAAGGACCUUGACUUAUACUACAUCUUUCGUUCUCAACCUGCGAACUUGGCGAUCUAAAAUCUGAACAGGAAUCUCCUCAUAAGAUUAGUUAUCCUUGAUCCUAAUACUUUCAGUUGAUAGAAUCAAUGAAGGAUCGCCUAUGCACUUCUUCAACAUGGAGAUGUGAAAUACCGGAUGAACCGCCGCUAAUUCCUGUGGUAGCUCCAACUCAUAAGCAACAUUGCCAAUCCUCUUGGCUAUGCGGUAAGGUCCACUAUACCGGGGACUAAGUUUACCUUUAUUACCAAACCUCAUAAACCCCUUCAUGGGUGAAACUUUCAAAUAUACCCAAUCAUCUAAUUCGAACUCUAACGCCCCUUCUCCUAACAUCAGUGUAGGAUUUUUGACGACUUUGUGCCGUUUUCAACCUUUCUUGAAUCACUUUCACCUUCUCCAUAGCUUGAUGAACUAAAUCUUGUCCUAUCAACCCUGCUUCACAAACUUUAAACCAUCCAAUAGGAGAUCUACAUCGUCUCCCAUAAAGAGCUUCAUAUGGAGCCAUUUGGAUGCUAGAGUGAUAACUGUUGUUGUAGGCAAACUCAAUGAGAGGCAGGUGAUCAGCCCAAUUACCUUUGAAAUCGAUUAUAAAAGCCCUCAACAUAUCUUCUAAGGUCUGAAUAGUGCGCUCUGCUUGCCCAUCAGUCUGAGGAUGAAAGGCAGUACUGAAGUUCACGUUUGAACCCAAGCCAUUCUGAAAAGAUUUCCAAAACCAUGCAGUAAAUUGUGCACCUCUAUCUGAAAUAAUGGAGACUGGGACUCCAUGAAGUCUCACCACCUCUUGAAUAUAUAACUUGGCAUAAUCCUCUGCUGAAAGGGUAGUCUUUACCUGCAGAAAAUGGGUUGAUUUUGUCAUUCUGUAGACAAUUACCUACAUAGAAUCAUGUUGUCUGUGAGAUCUUGGUAACCCUAUGAUGAAAUCCAUAUUAAUCAUCUUCCACUUCCAUUCCGGAUGUUCUAUCCUCUGAGCCAAACCAUCGUGCCUUUGGUGUUCCACUUUCACUUGCUGACAAUUUGGACAUUUAGCAACAAAUUCAGCAAUACCUUUCUUCAUGCUAUUCCACCAAUAAACUUCUCUCAAGUCACGAUAAAAUCUUUGUGGAACCCGGAUGAAUGGAAUAUCUGGAGUUAUGAGCUUCCUCUAUAAUCUUCUCUUGGAGUCCAGCCACCAUAGGUACAUAGAAUCUACCUUGAUAUCUCAAUACACCAUCUCCUCCUUGUUCAAAAGAUAAAAAAAAUUUCUUCUAAACAUUUACCUUCAACUCAAGCAAAAUGGGGUCUUGAUCUUGUUUCUCUUUCAUUUCUGACACUACUGAUGACUCGGCCCCGUUCGUCACUGCUAUUUCUCUUUCUGCGGAAUCCAUAAGUCUGACUCCCAGGCGUGCUAGUCUAUGCACAUCUUUUGUUAGCUGUCUCUUUCCUUCUUCAAUAUGGGCGAUGCUANNNNNNNNNNNNNNNNNNNNNNNNNNNNNNNNNNNNNNNNNNNNNNNNNNNNNNNNNNNNNNNNNNNNAACAACAUUAGCCUUACCUGGGUGGUAAAGAAUACUCAGGUCAUAAUCCUUGAGUAAUUCUAACCACCUCAUCUAUCUAAGAUUAAGCUCUUUCUGAGUGAACAUAUAUUGAAGACUCUUGUGAUCAGUGAAUACAUCAACAUGUGCUCCAUACAAGUAAUGGCGCCAUAUCUUCAAAGUGAAUACCAUAGCAGCUAACUCUAAGUCAUGGGUUGGGUAGUUCUUCUCAUGAACUUUCAACUGUCUGGAGGCAUAAGCUAUAACUUUGUCAUUCANNNNNNNNNNNNNNNNNNNNNNNNNNNNNNNNNNNNNNNNNNNNNNNNNNNNNNNNNNNNNNNNNNNNNNNNNNNNNNNNNNNNNNNNNNNNNNNNNNNNNNNNNNNNNNNNNNNNNNNNNNNNNNNNNNNNNNNNNNNNNNNNNNNNNNNNNNNNNNNNNNNNNNNNNNNNNNNNNNNNNNNNNNNNNNNNNNNNNNNNNNNNNNNNNNNNNNNNNNNNNNNNNNNNNNNNNNNNNNNNNNNNNNNNNNNNNNNNNNNNNNNNNNNNNNNNNNNNNNNNNNNNNNNNNNNNNNNNNNNNNNNNNNNNNNNNNNNNNNNNNNNNNNNUACAACUCCUAAUCUUUCAAACUCUGAAGAACUAUUCUGAGAUGACUAGCUUGAUCUUCUUCAUUCCUUGAAUAGAUUAAUAUGUCAUCAAUGAAUACGAUAACAAACAUAUCUAAAUAAAAGUUUGAAGACACUAUUCAUAAGGUCCAUGAAUGUUGCCGGUGCAUUGGUCAAACCAAAGGACAUGACCAAAAGCUCAUAAUGACUGUAUCUGGUUUUGAAAGUUGUCUUUGGAAUAUCACAUUCCCUUACUCUUAAUUAAUGAUAGCUUGAUCUGAGGUUAAUUUUUGAAAAACAGGUGGCACCCUGAAGCUGAUCGAAAAGAUCAUCAAUUCGUGGAGAAGGAUACUUAUUCUUGAUGGUAACCUUGUUCAAUUGGCGGUAGUCUAUACAUAUCCUAAGGGAACCAUAUUUCUUUCUUACAAACAAGAUCGGAGCGCCCCAGGGUGAGACACUUGGUCGAAUGAAACCCUUAUCUAGAAGCUCUUUCAACUGCUCUUUCAACUCAUUCAACUCUGCUGGUGCCAUUCUAUAUGGAUGAAUAGAGAUAGGACGACUAUCUGGAAUGAUGUCUAUGCCAAAAUCUAUUUCUCUCUCAGGAGGAAUUCUGGGUAGUUCAAUAGGAAAAACUUCUGGAAACUCUAUUACUAUAGGAACUGACUGAAUGGGAGGUAUCUCAACACUAGAGUCAUUAACUCGGACUAAGUGAUAGACACAACCUUUGAAACAAACUUUCUCGCCUUAAGGUGUGAAAUGAAAUGACCCUUAGGCACUGCUGAACUACUACUCCACUUUAUGACUGGCUCAUCUGGAAACUGAAACUUGACCACUCGAGUUCUACAAUCUAAAGAUGCAUAACAGGCAUGAAGCCAGUCCAUACCUAGAAUAACAUCCAAAUCUACCAUGUCUAAGUCAACUUAAUCAGCCAUGGUGCUCUUGUGAUUGAUGGAAACGGGACAAUCACGAUACACUCUUUUUGCUAGAAUAGACUCCCCAACAGGUGUAGAAACACAAAAGGGUUCACAAAGUCUUUCAGGAAGAACAUCAAACUUAUUUGCAACAUAAGGAGUUACAAAAGAUAAACUUGCUCCUGGGUCAAGCAAAGCAUACACAUCAAAAGCAAAGACUUUGAUCAUACCAGUGACGACAUCUGGAGAGUUCUCUUGCUCAUGGCGACUGGUGAUUGCAUAGAGCCCGUUUGCUCCUCCGCCAAUACUAGAAGUAGCUCCUCUAGGUGUCGUCCUGUCUGGGGGAGCAACUGAUGAAGUUUGGGCCCUAUUGCCCAGAUUUUCCACUACAUUGCCUGUUCUUAGGGCACUCCUUCAUGAAGUGACCCUCUUGUCCACAUUUAAAACAACCUGUCUGGCCAUCAAGACAUUUUCCUGGGUGGGUUCUACCACACCUAGCACAUGCAGGGGUCAAAUUACCUCCUUGUGCCACACUACCUGUAGACUGUGCUUGUCACACCCCGAGCCUACACCCUGGGCAACACUGGCACUCGGAGACCAUUUCUGGCCCCAAGCGAACCCUUGGCCUGACUUACAUAACUCAGCGGAAGACUUAACUCAAUGAAACAAUCUCAAAUAAUAAAUUAAAGAAUAAUAAGUUGGCCAAAAUGGCACUUAAGUAUUAAACAACAUCUGAAAGAUAAAGAAAGACAUCUGAACUAAUAACUAUCUGACUGUCUAUGAAGCCUCUAAAAUAUUGAGAUGGAUGUUGGGACAAACCCCACAACAUCCUAAUAAAUGAAAGACUAAAAGCGAAUAAAAGAGUCCUCCGUAAUGCAAGGAGGCUCACCACUGACUCUGAGCUGCUCAACUGGAUCAACGAGGUGCUGGAUGCUUAUCCUGGUGACUUGUGUCUGCAUCAUAAUAAAAUGCAGACCAACUACCAUCAGUACAUUGAAUAUACAAGUAUGCGAGUUAGAAUGCUAAACCACACAUAUGCUAGAGAAAGAAACUGAAUAACUUACCUAGCUCACUCAACUCAACCUGACUGACUCAUUUCAAUAUAAAGCAAUUUAAAGCGAGUGCAAUAUAAAGAAAAGCUGUUUAAAACAUGCUAUAAACUCUGUGUGUAUGCAAACAUACAAUAAAUCUGAGAUGUAUGUAGAAAUACAAAUCAACUGAUGUAUAUAGAAAUACAAUAACUAUUGUGAGAGUUUCUCUAACCGACAACCAUCACAUAAGAGCUAUAGUGAUGAUACAGCGAUCAACCUCACGCUGCCAGAGCAUUCUAUACCCGGCCAAAGGUACAGAACCUGAACUGCCUAGUGGAUCCACUAGUCUAAUUUGAAAAGGAUUCAUCUAGAAAGUAUGAACCUCUUCUACCCAUGAUGGCUACAUGGUUCUAUGGGGGCUAUGGGUUCUUUGAACGCUCCCCCAAUUCGGUGCUCAAUACUACUCCAAAAAAUGUAUUGGCUCUUACGUUUUUAAAACAUAUUUCCUCUGUGAUUUGAGAAUAGUGCUCAAAAACUUAGCUCAAAUGUUAUCUUGGAAAUCUAAGUUCCCCUGCUUGUUUUAUUUAGAAAGCUAUUACUCUUUUCUGAAAACUAGCCCGAAGGCUCUUUUGGAAAUCUCAGUUUCCGUUCUUAUUUAAAUGUGAAAACAUUUUAAAUCUCUUUGGGAAUACUUAGUCCCCAUAUACUUUUGAAGAAAUGAACUUGAAACUUUACUCUUUACUCUUUACUCAACUUGAACUUUAAGUCUUAAAACAAAGUUAAAACAUUUGGAAAAGACUUUUGGAAAACUCUAAGAACUCAUCUUGACUUGACUCUUACUUCUCUUGACUUUGAUCUUAACUUUCCUUGAAUUGGAUUAUAGAUUCAAGGUUCAUGAUCUCAUGUUUAUGGAUGAUUUCAUGAUGUUUUGGAUGUAUUUUAGAAUGUUAGAAUCGACUAGGAAACAUAGGUACAUCACUUAGGAACACGUACGAGAAGGUGGGGAACGAAUGGGGAGAACUGGUGUCCCUGGUAUUCUGAGAAGCGCGGGGCGCCAUCCCUCAAACAUCAGAGAGGUUUGGCUGGCGCUCGAGCUGGCGUGAGAGGCCAAAGUUCAGAGGAACUUUUGUGGUGCUCUGGCAGGCGCGGUGCCCCAAGCCUUUGCCCAGAAAAUCCCCGAUUUCUCUCCUUCAUUUUUCAUCUCUAAACCCUCUAAACUUCAAUAGUUCCUUCCCCAAACACUUAGGAUCAAUAGUAACCUCAACAUACAACAAUUUAACUUGAAAAUUCACCCGGAACCACGAAUCAAAUCAACAAGAAACUUCAACAACACAACCAAUCAAGAACUUAACUAUGUCUUUCAAGAACUUCACCUUUUUACAUAUGAACAACCCAAAAUCACUGAAUUGAAACAAUUUGGUGUGUGGGUGAACUAACCCAUCACUAAAAUAUCUCACAUACCUUAAUAAGGAUCACCCCCGACGAAUUCCACUUCAAACGCUUGAUGUUCUUGGCGAAAUCUUGGAUUUUCUCCCCUUUCAUUCUUUUUUUCUCUUUUCUCCAAGCCCUAAGCAUAUUUCUCAAUUUUCCAAACUGACUAAGUCAUGUUUUUACCCCAAUAAAUCCCUAAAAUCAAAUUAGGAAGUAACUUAGAGAAAAUACUAGUUUGCCCUUCCCUAAAUCCGGAUUGGGAAUUUCCUCAAUCCAACAACCCAACUUCCGAAACGCAUAUUUUACUCAUACGAUGUCGAAAUCGUGCAAUGUUGGUGGCGUUGGAAAGAUAACUCCAAGGUAUCUCCAACCAUAUCAAGAGCUUCUCCUAACUCCUCCUGAGCUAGGAGUUAUGGCCGUUUGAAAAUGGUCAAAACUCACUUUCUUAACUUAGACAAAAUUUCCAGAUUUCCUUAUUCUUUCAAAAAAAACAAUAUUUUCAUAUUUUAAACUCUUUAUAGUCAUUUCUAGGUGCGAGAUGUUACAGUGCUGGUCUAACCUUGAAGUCCUUCAAAUUUUGGCCAUUAUGUUCACGUCUGUAUUUGGGUGCAGGUGCCUAGCAGAUGAUAGAGCAGGUCCCCUUUUCCUUUGUUGAAAGGAUGAACGGUUCGCAUUACUUUUCUGCUACCCGAACUCAUUACCAGUCUUAGCUUUCUUAUUUCUCAACUCUUCCCUGCCCCUCAGCUUCUCUUCCUCGACUUGCUGCACAUAAACCAUCAACCUUGAUAUGUCCAUGUCCCCGAUAAGCAUUGCAGCCCUGCCUUUUUUACUCGACAGACGAGAUAGCCCAGCAACAAACAAGUUCAUUCUGCUCCUCAUGUCUGCAACGAUCUCCGGAGCAUAACAUGAUAGUUGGGCGAACUUCAACCCAUACUCAUGAACACUCAAAAACUCCUGCUUAACUGUGAGGAACUCACGUACCAUGGCCUAUUUCAAUUCUCGAGGAAAGAAACGUCCCAAAAAAGCUUCCUCAAAACUGGCCCAACUCGCAGGUGGUGCAUCAUCGGCUCUGCCCCCUUUCCACUGGUCGAACCAAGUUCUAGUAACAUCCUUCAAUUGAUACGUAGCUAGUUCAACUGGAUCAUUAUCUACCACAUGCAUCACAUAAAAAAUCUUCUUCAGCUCCUCAAUGAAGUUCUCUGGAUCCUCAGUAGUGCUCGAACCCAUGAUAAUCGGAGGAUUCAUCCCCAAGAACUCACGAAUCCUUGAAGUGUCAGCUCCUUCAUGUCCAGAUCCCCUUUGCUGACCAAUCUGGUUAGUUACAGCUUGACUAAGUAUCCUAAUUGCCUCUCUGAACUCAGCAUUAGCAACUUCCCUUUGAGGUUGCACUUCAGGUGCAUAAGGUAACUCCUGCUCCUCAACAUUACGUCUAGCAGGAAUCCCUCUGAUAGCUCUUCGUGGCGGCAUGAUUAUCUGAAACAUGCGCAAGCACGAAUUAGAAAAAAACUUAUUAGAGAUAAACUCUAACGCACGAGAUGAAUGUGAAAAAAGUGAGGUAGUUCCUAAAUGUUGAAGCCUCCUAACUAUAGAUGUGGCGCGCUUCACACCGAUAACUAGGACUCUAUAGAUACGACUUCAUAGACUCUUAAACUUUGUGCUCUGAUACCAAGUUUGUCACCCCCGAGCCUACACCCUUGGCGGGACCGGCACUCGAACACCAUUCCUGGCCCCAAACGAACCCUUGGCCUAGCUUACUUAACUCAACAGAAUAACUCCAUGCAAUGAAAGGUCAUAAAACAACCUAACUGAUAAAAUCUGGCCAAAAAGGUAACUCGUGUCUCCAAAUAGAAUAUAUUUAUAUAUAUAUAUACAUAGAUUAGAGACUCAAUACUAACUGACUGACUAUCCAUGAAGCCUCUAUAACACUGAGAUGGAUGUUGGGACAGACCCCACAACAUCCUUAUAAAGCAAAACUAAGAAAAACAAAAUAUCCGAGUCCUCCGGAAUGCAAAGAGGCUCACCACUAACUCUGGAGUGCUUAGCUGGAUAAACGGCAUACUGGAUGCUGAUCUUGGUUACCUGUGUGUGCAUCAUAAUAAGAUGCAGGACAACUAAAGCAAAACUAAGAAAAACAAAAUAUCCGAGUCCUCCGGAAUGCAAAGAGGCUCACCACUAACUCUGGAGUGCUUAGCUGGAUAAACGGCAUACUGGAUGCUGAUCUUGGUUACCUGUGUGUGCAUCAUAAUAAGAUGCAGGACAACUGGCAUCAGUACAUUGAAUGUACGAGUAUGCGAGCUGGAAAGCUAAACAACAACUUAAGCUUGAAAGGGAUACAAAAGAGAACUNNNNNNNNNNNNNNNNNNNNNNNNNNNNNNNNNNNNNNNNNNNNNNNNNNNNNAGUUUCUCUAACCGACAACCACCACUAUGAAACUAAGUGGUGAUACAACGUUUUACCUCACGUUGCCCAAGGACCAUCCUAUACCUUGCCGUGAUAUAGGACCUUACUUUACUUAGUGGAUCCACUAGCUUAACUUACGUGAUCAUCUAAAAAGAAUGAUCCAUUAGAUCCCAUGUUGGUUACAUAGUUCUUAUGGAAAGUUGAGUUAAUAUGAACUCGCGUCCCCAAUUCGGUGCUCAAUACUACUCCCAAAAAUACUUUAGCUCAUAAGUGUUUUAAACACAUCUUUCUUUAGUUUGAGAUAAUUCCUCAAAGCUUAGCCCAAAGGCUCUCUUGGAAAACAUAGUUCCUUUCUUAUUCAAAUGUGAAACAUUUAUAAACUUCUUUGGGAAUACUUAAUUCCCUAAUAACUUUUGAGAAAUGAACUCAACUCUAUACUUUGCUUGAAACCUGAGCCUUAAAACGAGUUGAAACGUUCAUUAAAGACUCUUGAAAACUUUAAAAAAAAACUUGCUUUGACUUACUUCUUAACUUCUAGACUUGGCUCUAACUUCACUUGACUUUGAUCCUAACUUUCCUUGAAUUGGAUUAUGGAUUCAAGGGUAAUGAUCUCAUGUUAAUGGAUGAGUUUGUGAUGUUUAGAUGUACCUUAAGAGUGUUGAAAUCAACUAGAAAACAUAGGUACAUUACCAAGGAACAUGUAUGAAAGAGUGGGGAAGGAGUGGGGAGGAUUGGCGUCCUUGGCACUCUGAGAGGCGCGGGGUGCCAACCCUCAAAUUCCAGAAGGCCUGCUGGGCGCACUGCAUGGCGCGCAGCCCCAAGGGGGGAACUUGAGAGCCCCUUUUGGGGCCCACUAGCUGGCACGAUGCCCCAGCCUUUUCCCCAGAAAAUCCGACUUUUCUCCUUAGUUUCUCCAACUCUAUACCCUCUCAACAACAAAGGUUCUUUCCCCAAACACUCAUAAUCAUUAAAACCCUCAAUACACAAUAGAUUUAACUCGAAAUUCCAUCCGGAAACAUGUACCAAAUCAACAAGAAACUUCAACACAACACAAGAAUCAACAAACACAACCAAUCCUUUUUUUCGGAAUUAAAACAAGUUUGGCGUGUGGGGGAUGAACCAACCCCACACUUAUGCUCUCACAUACCUUAAUAGGGAUCACCCCUGACGAAAUCCAUGACGAUCUUGACGAACAUUGCUUCUUCUUCACUUUCUCCUCUUCUUUCUCUCUUCUCUCUCAAACCCUAACUCUCACUUUUUAAAAGGGAAAACUGAUUUAAAAUCAGCUUAGACCCUUAAUAUAACCAAAAUAAAUGGUUAGGGAAAAGACCAAACUACCCUUAAAAAUUCGGAUUGGACUUCCUUAUGCCAACAACCCAACUUCGGAAGGGCAUAACUCACUCAUAUGAACUCGGAAUCGAGCAAACUCGGCGGAAUUGGAAAUAUGAUUCCAAGAUCUUUCCAAACAUAAUAGAAAUGCACCUAACUCAUCCUAAUCUAGGAGUGAUGACUGUUUUAAGUUGACCAAAAUAUCAUUUUUUUUCCAUACUUAACUAAAUUUCCAGAUUUUUGUAUUCUUUCCAAAAAUGACUAUGUCCAAUUAUGAGCUUCUUCAUAGUUAUUUCAAUUGGCAAGAUGUUACAAUGGUGCACAAGCUUGUAAUGUGAGGAUUCAAUUCUUUGGAUAGAUGUUAUCAAUAGCGGGAGUUAAUUCGCGUUGUAGUCUUUUUCCCUUAUGAGGUUUUGUCCCACUAGAUUUUCCUUGUAAGGUUUUUAAUGAGGCAGCCUAGAUACAUAUUCUUAGAUAUGUAUACUCUUCUUCUUCAGUAGUGUUUAUCUUUUUUUUAAAGUUUUUUUUAAGUAAGGUUUUAACGAGACACAUUAUCUACGAAUUAGACAUUCAAGGGGAGUGUUACAAAUAUAGUGAAUGUCUAUCUUUCAGAGAACAUAUAGGAACCCUAACUUUGGGACCAAGUCAAUUUUCCCCGAGGUGUCCUCUUCAUUGUAAGAUUAUCCCUCAAAAGAACUGAUAAGUCUUCUCUCUUCUCCCUACUUUCUUCUUAUUAUUAUUUUAUAGUUUCAUAACACUUUCUUUUUUUCCUUUUUGUUUUUGAUCAUUCAAGUCUCAUGAAAAUGUUUUACAGCUCCAAAUUAUCUUAAUCCAUUUUAUUUAGUAUUAUUAGUAUUCAAAACUUUAUUUCAUCGAACCAAGAAGAAGAAAUUAUUUCAUCUACCUAAUUUUGAAUAAGAAAUUAUUCUAUUUACAUGUUGUUUUGGCAUAACAUAAGCCUAACAUGUUUUCAAAAGGAUAAAUAUAGUAAAAAAAUAACUUUCAAUUUAUGAUAGUUUUUUUUAUGUUCUUUUCGUAACAAAAAUGAAAAAUUACUAAAAUAAUAUUUCACAAUAUUUACAUUUCCAGUUAUUAUAGAAAUAUAAAUGCAGGAAGAUAUAGACUUUUUCCCUUUGACUGUUAAGAAAAUAACAUUUAAAAAAAUACAACUUAUAAGUAGCAUUUCUCCAAAUGCACUUGAUAUCCUUUUUUUUCCUUUGAAUCCCAAGCGAUCCCAAUUUGAUAAUAACUCAAUCCUCAUUCACAAUCAUGGUGUCAUCUAAAAACCUUAGCUACUCUUAAACUUGUAAAUUAAUCAAUUUGAUGUAAUGGCAAAUUCACACGCAUGUUACAAAAUUCGUAUCAAUAGGAGGUUGGUUUUGACUUUUUAAAAAUAUAUGAAAUAAUUUAACUUAUUUCUAGUCAAUGAUAUAAGAUUAAGAGGGUUUAUUGUCCCAUAUACUAUUUCUUAAAUUAAAAAUGUUGACAGGGUAAAAUGGAUUUUUAAUGAUAAUUUUUGUUGAGUUAUUUUAUAAGAGAAAAAACCUAAGUUGAAUGAUCUUAUUGAUACAAAACAAGGUUAAAUGACUUUGUUACAUAAUUUCUCAUAGUUUAGUGACCUUUUGAGAUAUUUACUCUCAUCAAAAUAUGAAAACUAGAAAAGGCCAUUGUAAUGCAAAAACAGUCUUUCUAUCUAUUUUUUUAUUACAAAAAAACCAACUCAAAAUAGUAAAUGUUGUAAAAUAUAGUAAAAAUAAAAUAACUUUCAAUUUAUGAUAGUUUUUUUUUAAUGUUCUUUUUAUUACAAAAAACUACAACUGAAAAUAGUAAAUGUUGUAAAAUAUAAACAAUAUAGAACAAGCAAGGUAGACAAGAAAUAUAUAAAGUAAAAUGUAGAGAUCAUAUUAUUCAAAUGUCUUCAAGUAUCUCUUAGAUGAUGAAUGACAAUCCUAUUUAUAGGUUGAGAAAUCACUCUAAAAGUCACCAUAUUGAAUGUCAUAAAUAAUAGAUAUUUUUUUAUCCAAAAUGAUUCAUAGAACCUAGGGAAUAUAUAUACAUGAAUGUAAGUAGUUCAUGAUUAAGUAAAUGGAUAAUUGAAAAUUCAUGAUUAAGUAAAUGGAUAAUUGAAAAUUCAAUGAAUUUAUGUCCAUAGAUAACAUGCCUCUUUAAAACUUUACUAGAAAAUACAAAGUGCGAAAAAGCCUAGUGAUGGAAAAAGAGUACACACAUCUUAUAAUACGCCUCAAGUGUUGCCUCAUUAAAAACCUUACUAGAAAAACCCAUUUGAGACAAAGUCAUGGUUAAGGAAAAGAGUACAACAUGUAUCUCACUUCCCCUAAUUAAAACUUUACUUGAUAUCUUGGAAACGACACAUUUUAAUGUUAUAUAUCAAUUUCUCAAAGAUUGAAGUUGGCAAUGCCUUAGUAAAUAAAUAUGCAAGAUUAUCACUUAAAUUGAUUUGUGAUACUUCUAUCUCAUCAUUUUAUUGAAGACCAUGUGUAAAAACGAACUUUGUUGAAAUGUAUAUCGUUCACUCUCCUUUGAUAUAUCCUUCUUCAAUUGAGCUAUACAUGCAAUAUUAUCUUCAUACAUGGUGAUUAAAAUAUCCUUUUUAAAGAAAGCUACACAUUUCAUGAAUAUGAUAUGCCUUUUUAUGAUCCAAAAAUUGGACGUGAUGACAACUGUCUUAUCCCACACAAAGAGGUUAGCCUAAACAAACCCCGAUUAGGCAAAUGUGGAAGUAAGAACAUGAUAAGGACUAAACAUAACAUAAACAUGCAUAAAUUAUGAUAUAACUCAAGUACCCCCCAAAACAUGGUAUCACGUGUACAAGCCUCUAAGUUUUACAAUAGAUUGAAAUAAAUACAAUUCUCAAUGUCUUUUUAUCUAGAAUAUAACAAGGAAAUAAUGAAAGAGUAAGUGAUGUCUGCCGAGAUGACAAGAAACUACCUCAUGAACUGUCAAAGCAAGCCUCAGACGAAGAUGAGAAGGGGAUGAUCAAGGCGAUCCAUGCUCGUAACCUACACAAGUGUAGAAAGCAUGGGAAUGAGUACCAAACAACAAUGAUACUCACAAGCAUUCCUACUAACCCUAAGUAAAUCAAUACAAAAUACAUGUUCUCCCAACACUCCAUCCGAACCUCCACAUACUACAACCUGCAUAGAAAUCAGAAGAACCCAACCUAACGGUUCACAUUUCAUAGCAUAUAACACAUACAAUUACAUCACAACAUGCAUCUCAACAUAUACAAAUUAUCAUCACAGUCCUUCAUAUCAAAACAACCACAAUGGCUACGAUAAAUCACUCAUAAAGAUCAAAGAACAAUAAUGAUGUACAAUGCAAGAAGUGCAAUGUCACAUAUAGUGAUGCACGUGUGUCCUAAUGAUACACCCCUACUGAUACUUAGGUCGAUACCCAUGGAGAACUCAAAAGGUCGAUGUAUCCACUGAACCAUUUUCUUUUGGCAUAUAUCAUCUGUCCAAAUCAUUUUCCUUCGACAUCACCGAAACUAUUUCCCUUCGGCAUAAACAUCAAUCACUGAAACUAUUUUCCUUCGGCAUAGACAUUAAUCCAAUAAAUUUCAUAUCAAUACACAAUCCAUACUCACACAAUCAUGACACAUCAUCAAUUGUGAAUCAGUAUAACGAUUUAAAUCAUCCACGACACAUUAUGCAUUACUAUAACGAGUUUACUUUUAUCCCACUUUAUCAUUUACAACUUUACAAGAAUUUCAAACACUUCUCCAAUUCUUAUUACUCCCAGGUACUCACAAUAAGGCAUAAAAUGUUCAAUACGCUUAAUGAAGGGUCAUCAUUUACUUAAAAGUAAUGAAAUCAACUCGGUACCUGAACCUUCCCUUCAUGUCCAGCCACAUAAUCCACACCAACAAAUAAAAUAUGGAACACCCAUAAGAAAAUAUGAUCAACAACACCCAUAAUGCUAUAUUUGAAAAUUCGUUCUAAAUUGACAUAAAAUUCAUCCUCGAAGGCUAAUGAUAAUCUUGAAUUUUUAUAGAAAAGUAUGUUUCCCUAGGAUUUAGGAAAUCACAUGCAACAUCGUAUUGAGAAAAGAGUUAGAAAUCAUCCCCAAAAGUCCAAAAGAUAGGAUUAAAGUUCAUGAGAAAACCCCCAAUAACCAAGUCUGAGAGUCUAACACCCCAGAAUAUUUUUUAGCUAAGCCUCGAACCAUCUUUCGUUGUGUGUAGGAUUUUACCAAGGAUUUAAAAUUUUCUUGCGUGUUAAGGUCACUAGAUGUAGCACUUUGAGUUCAAAGAAGAACUAAAGAGAGUUCAUCCAAGUAAUUCCUAAGUUCCUUUAAGUUUUGGGUCAACUUCAAACAACCAUAACUCUUAGUACAUGAUGAGUUAGGUAUGCCAUGAGAUGGCAAAAUAAAGGUCUUUGAAUUUUCUUUCCAACGCCACGAAGUUUGCUAAGUUUCGAGUUUGGAUGAGUGAUAUAUACCCUUUUGAAGUCAGGUUGUCCAGUUAAGAAAAGUUACCCAAAAAUAGUAAGGGGCAUUUUGGUCUUUUCCUUACCCAAUCAGAUUUAAUUCAUUUUUAGUAAGGUUUUAAGGGUCUAAUACGAUUAGGUUCAUUUUAUAUUCCUAAUAUACGUUUAGGGUUUUAGUUGAGAGUUCAAGAAGAGAAUAGAAGAGAAAAGAGGAGAAAAAAAGGAGAGGAUCAAGCCGUUCGUCGAGAUUCUUGAGAGUUGUUGCAGAUUUUCACAAUGGAUUUGAUCCCGAAGAGGUAUGUAAGCUUCCAUAGUGUUGAGUUCGUUCACCCACACGCCAAUCAUGUUAAUUUCAACGUUAAAUUUGUUCUAAAAAGUUGAAGGUAUGAUGUUCUUGAAUUGUGUUCUUGAAAUUGGCUUUCGUUCUUGAGUUUAGAUGAGAUUGAUGAGCUCUAGAGGAAAUAGUGUCGAUUUUAGAGUUGUGUUUAAUUAGAUUCUUGUGUACAUGUAGUGAGUAUCUGAAUCUAAAGAGGAAUUGCGAAAAAUAAUCGAAUUUAGGCGAAUUGGGGUUAGAAAAUGAAGAAGUAAAAAGCCGGACAAAAAUUGUGUACCAUGUUUGCGUCGCGGACCUAUUCCUUCAGAGUGAACUUUUUCCUCUCUGUGUCGCGAAGAAAUUGCGGAACCCACAGUCUCAAAAAUUAUUUCGACCAAAUAUUAAAAUGCAUCUAUUUUAUUUAGAAAAAAGAAAAUGACUAGUUUUUAAGAGUUGCCACUUAAUUUUUAAAGAAAAAUUAAGAAAACUUAUUUUUUCAAAAGAUUAAAAUAGUAAAUCUAAUGGAAAUAUUAAAGCGGGUUUGGGGUUCAUAUUAACAUUUUGGGAAGGGUUUAAAAGCACCUGAAAUGCCCAUUAACACAUGGUUAUCCGAUAAUUAACUAUUUGGCUAAAAAUUAGUUGACUUAAUUCAAAUUGAGAGAAUGAAAAAUUUUGAAAGUUAAGACCAUUUUAAGGGGGAAAAGGGGAAAUAUUGAGAUAUUACCUAAGUACAAUACUUUACAAAAUUAUGUUUUAAGAUCAAAGGAAAUGAGUGCUUAAUUAGUUAAUUUUUAGAAAAUUAGUUCAGAAUGGCUAUUUGUCGAGAAAAUUAAAUCAUAGUAACCUUAAGAUUAACAAAAAGUAACAAUGGGUAAACAAAUAUAAAAUAAUAAAAUAAAUAGUGAAAUUUGGGACCAAGUUUGGUUUCCUAUCUGCCUGGGCCAGUGCUUGGGCCCAAUUCUUCCACCUGUUCUAAAAAAAACUAACAAGUAAUAGCAAAAUAAAUGCACUUUUGGCCCAAUUACAAUACAAUACAAUCAAUGGAAAUUUUGGGACUUUUGGGCCCAUUUCUGCGGCACCUGUACAACGUAUACAAUGAAUGUAUACUUGUGUAUAUAGCACGUAUACAACCCCAUCUUGGGCCUCCCUAGAUCUGUAAUCAAUUCCAGCCCUCCAUAAACAUGUUUCGAUGACCUGACUGACUCAAUAAAGGUGGAAUUUGAGCCUUUAUGGCUCUCUCGAAAUGCAAAGGAAAGGUGAUAGGAGUUCAUAGUGAAGUCGGACAGAUUUCACAUGCAAUAAAAAGGGGAUUAAAUAUUAGCAAUUGAAAGAAUAUUUAUGAACCUAUGCUCAAUUGUAAUUAACCAAUCAUAAUAAAUGCCUAUAAGGGAAUCACAACUUAACAUCCUUAAGCUAAAGCAAACAAGUAAAUGAGUUGGACCAUAUAUCAAAUACUUGACAGGUUCAAAACAAAGAAGAAAGCAAAUUUUACUGAAAAAAAAUGAAUGAAUUAAACAUGUAAACAACAUUAUAUAUGCUCUUCAAAACAGUGAAAAGGAACAAGAGACCAAGGUCAGCAUCUAGGUUGUACUAACAAGAUACUGCCUCUAGAAAUUACUCUAAGGUACGACAUUGAAGUGAACUCAAAAUUAAAGGAGUAGGCAGUAAAUAAGAAUUUGAAUAAAUAACACAAAAGAAGGAACCAAAGAAAAUGCUAAUAAGACACAUAGAUAUAUCAAAACAAUGGCUAUUAAUAGAGAACUUGAGCUGAAAUAGUGUUGAAUAAGGAUGCAUAAUAAUACUAUACGAUACUCGAUACUACACUUGAUGAAGAGUAUAGCUCAAUGUUGAACAACAUCGAACCCCCAAAAAAGAAAAUGGCACACGAGCUUUCCAAAAUACAACACCGUAAGGGACGAAGAGAAUAAACAAUAGACAACAAAGUAGGAAAAAAAAAUUAGAAACAGAACACAUUGCAGUCUGGAAAUGUGAAAACAAAAACCUACACUUUGAAGCAGACUUAACAAACAUUCAAGUAAAGAGAUUCAAAAUGAACUGUAAAAAAUACAAGACACGAGCUCAAAAUCUUGAUGUGUUGGUUCCUUCAUUCAACUUGAGGUGAAAGGAAGGAGAAUAUGACUUCGAACAUUAAGCAUUAAUGCAGGUUCAUGAGAAUAAACUAGGACCAAUACAACACUUUGGACUUGAACACAAUAAUGCUAUGAAAGCCAAGAAAAUAAGAAGAGCAGCAAACAGUGACCAACCUCUCAGCAUCCACGUACAUAUUCAAGUCAUUUUGAAUCCAAACAAACACAAGAAAGGAGUGUAUGCCUAUUGUGGUGGAAGUCGCUUAUCAGCUCGCAUCCUAAGAGUUUGAUACUCCUCUUCGGACUAUGUCUCAGUUUGCUGCUAAGAAAAAGUUCCACGUUGUGCUGCAUCCUUUUUUAUGUCGUCCGCACCUAUGGUUUGUUUUGAGAAUUAAUCCUUUCAGUUCUCUUGACAAAGUUUGAGAUAAAACUCAUUAGCAUAAAAUGUAAUUCAAAUGGGGAGAUAUCAUCUGUCACCGUGUUGACACUUAGUUUCUCUCCAUGAACAUUUGACGUUAGCUUCCUCCAGUGUGACGUAAAACAAAUAAAGCUUGUAUUUUGUAUUUGCAAUAUAAUCUUCAAUGUACUCUACAUUUGAUGUCAAAGUAAUAAAAUAGGCUAAUGUAAUAUGUUGAUAGUUCUCUUGAUGUCGUUGUUGAUGGUUCUCUUGAUGUCCUUCUUGUAAUGAAAAUGAUGCAGCCGAUGAUGAUUUUUCUUGCGGCGCAUGGAUGCAUGAUAAUAUUCAAACUGUAACGAGGUGGAUGGCUCGCUUAUUAUCCAACUGUAACGAGGUGGAUGCUCGAUAAUAAUCCAACUAUAACGAGGUGGAUGCUCGAUAGUAUUCCAACUGUAACAAGGUGGAGGGUCGAUAAUAUUCCAACUGUAACGAGGUGGAUGGGUCGAUAAUAUUCCAACUGUAAUGAGGUGGAUGGCUCGAUAAUAUUCCGACUAUAACAAGGUGGAGGGCUCACUAAUAUUCCAAUUGCAACGAGGUGGAUGGCUCGAUAAUAUUCCAACUGUAAUGAGAUGGAUGGAUUGAUAAUAUCCUAAUUGUAACGAGGUGGAUGGCUCGAUAAUAUUCCAAGUAUAAGGAGGUGGAUGGAUCGAUAAUAUUGCAACUGUAACGACGUGGAUGACUCGAUAAUAUUCCAAUUGUAACAAGGUGGAUGACUCGAUAAUAUUCCAACUGUAACGAGGUGGAGGUUCGAUAAUAGUCAAAUAUAGUUCAAAAUAGGAAACUUAAAUGGACAAACAAAUAUACGAACCACUCAUGGGGUGGAUCGCCCAACAAAACUAUAUACUAAAAUCUUUGAAUAGUCAAUCAAAGCACAUAAUCCACUUAUUGGGUGGACACCCAACAAAUUUUGAAAAUCUUGACCAUGACAUUGUCAAGAAACAUGUAUGCCUAAAUUGCUACGUGACAAUCAUACUAAAAUAAACAAUAUUGAUGUAUAUGCACGUCGCGACUACGACUAUCUCUUUAAAAGACGGAAUUAUCGAGGUGAAUGACUUAAUUCUUUCAUAUGAAGAUUAAAGUCACUCACGUCUUUCUUGACAAACUCAAUAAAAUUUGAGUUUGUUGCUAACAUAUUCAAUCGUUAUCAAAAACUUAUAACGUUUUGAUAACUUCGACUGUCAUGAGGAUAUUGCGAUCUCCAACAUCUUUUCUGUUGUGAUGGACUUGGUGAUUUUCCCUUGCAACACUUCUAAGAUAGUGUCAGUUAUGAUGUUGUUCAAGUUUGAUGUCUAUUUCAUAAAUGAUCCUGACUUUACCAAUAAUAUCGCCUGCAAAGCUUGACACCAAACAUUAGCAUCGACAAUGAAGUAAAGAGUAUAAGUAAAGAUAAAGCAUUAGAUUAAGUCAUUUGUCUUAUCAAGGUUAGGCUAUGAUGAGCCUAAUGGUGACUUUGAUCGUGACUCAUCACUAGCGAUCCUCCAACACGAUUUUUCUUAAGACUUUGAAAGAAUUUGUUAGUGUUUGUCUUAAAUAUUCCUACAAAAAAAAAAGAAAUUGUUUAUAAAUCACUUGAGGCAACAUAAUGAAAUGAAGAUAAACUGAGAUGAAAUGUUUUCUAAGUUCUGUUGAUGAGGCCACAAUGGGUGCAAAUGACAUCUUUUUCCACGCUUGACAGCUUUGACAUUGCCAUUUUUGUGACUUCUUUAUUCCUGUGUCCAAAGAAUUUUUUUUAGUUUGAAAGACUGAUUUGUGUUGGUCUUCUCUACAUGCUUCUUCAUGCAGUUGACUUACACACUCGUCUGCUCUCCAAAAUGUAAUCUUGAUGGAAUUUUUUAGGACCUUUCUCAAAAAUUCUGCCCCAGUCUAAAAUAGGGAACAACUCUGGUAAUUUGCUUUGUCAUUCCUGAGGUUGCUCAUUCAGGGAUUUUGAGGUCCCUCCUCAAAAUUCUGUCCCAGUUUGCCUCAAUAAUAAAUAUAAGUUUUUUAACAAAUGACGUUUUGUGGAAUUUUUGAGAUGAUCUCAAAAAUUCUGUCCUAGUUGCAUAUUUCUACAUGAUUUCCAACUUGAUUCUCUUGAAAAUGUCAUUUUGUGGAAUUUUGAGGUCUACUAAAAAAACCCACCCAGUUGCAUUUUGAUCUUCAGUCUUGACUUGUUAAAAAGUCUAUCUUCAAAUGAAUUGUUGAGAUCCUCUCAAAAAAUUUGUCCCAGUUUUCAUUAUAAAAGAAAUAAAAUCUGAUGGGAAAUAUAACCGAGCCGUUGUGGCGCCAACGUAUCCCAUUGAGGCAGGAAUAAGGUCAAAUGUAGUUCCCCUCUUAAGGAUUAACAAAAUAGGAAAUUUUGAUAGGGAAAUGACCGAAGCUGACAUAGGCUACCUACGUAUCUCAUUCUUGAGAAUUCAGGUCAAAUGUAGUUCAUUACAAGUGUGAUAAAAUGGGAAGUAAAAGAUUAAAUAUGUAUUUUCAAAAGAAAGAUAACGAUAACUUUAUAUGCUAAAAUCUCUUCAAUACUAGGCAUAUUUAUUUUCAACCUUUGAUGAUGAAUAUAUUCACAUGACUCUAUUGAGAAAUGUCUUGCACUUACUUUGAAGCACCGAAUACAUUAUCCCUUUAGGUAGUUUCCUCAAUAUUGAUCAAAUCAGUGUUAAUCAUGUUUUGAAUCUUGUGUUUGAGGGUUGAACAAUUCUUUGUGUCAUUUCCAAUAAUUCCUGAAUGAUAAGCGCAUAUAUGGGCAGCCCUGUAAAAUUUCCUCAAUGGAUUGGUUGCUCUUCCUUCUAUAGGAUGGAGCAGACCCAUUGCUUUCAACAUUUCAUAAAGUUGAGUUUGAGAUUCCCUUAGUGGUGUAAAUACUUUAGGAGCCUUCUAAAGUUUGGAUGAGGGAAUCGUUUAUGAUUGACAUUGUGGUUUUGAUAUUUCCUUUGUGGAGCUGACAGUGACCGCAUAUGGGUAGUCGUGACCAUAUAUACCUCUUCUUCUUUUCCUUUUGAUAUAUUCAUAUCAUUAAUUCUGGUAGCUUUUCCAUUAACUUGCAAUACGGUAAGGUUUGUGACUAUUCCAGUCUUGAAACCAUCUUCCAAAGCUUCUCCCACUUUGAUGAUCUCGACAAAUUUUUGUCCCAUCAUACACAACAUUCUUUCAUAGUACUCAGUCUCUUGAGUUCGAAUAAACAUUUUAGUGAUCUCACGUUCAGACAUGGGAGGUUGAACUCCUACGGCUUCUUUUCUCCAAUGAAGAGGGUACUCUCGAUAAUUUUUUGUAGACCUCUGUUUGAUCUUUUCCAAGUAGUAGAGAUCUGGGGCAGCUUCUAUGUUAUGUCCAAAUCGUUCAGUGAAAUCCUUUGUGAGUACUUUCCAACUCAUCCAUUUUUUUAGUUCUUGUGAUGUAAUCCACUCCAGAGCUUCUCCAUUUAGACUUCGAUUGAAGAGACGUAUUAACAAUGCUUCAUUUUUGCCAACUCCCACAAGUUGAUCAUAAUAAACUUUCAGAUGUGCUAGAGGAUUUCCAGUUCCAUUAAAAGUGACAAACUUUGGCACUUUGAACCCUUUCGGAAGGUCAAAAUCCGGAUGAAUGCAUAAAUUUUCAUAGUUCAACCCCACAACAUCCGAAGAGUAAUUAAGCUCUUUAUUGCUUCUGCAAUCUCUUCCUUCAUGAUCUGCUUAGUCAUUUGCUCUUUGGCCCUCCACUCCUUCUCCUUAUCUUAAUGGUGGUCAAGUUCGGAACAACUAGUAUAGUGAAGGUGUGGUUCGGUGUGGCCUGGAAUAUCAAAAGUUACUUUUGGAGGUAGGGGUUGAGCAUUUGGAGGAUUUUGAGUGCCUUUUGCAGGGGUUUGGUACAUGAAAGGGGAUGUUUGAAGAUUGUUGACAUUUAAGCUUUGAAAUGGAGGGAAUAUUGAGAGUUAUUUGUGUUUUGGUUUUGAAGGGAAGGGAAAACUUGAGGGUUGGGAUUCAAGCUUUGAAAGGGAGGCGGUGCUUGGUAUGAAGUGUUGGUCUGAUGAAGAUUAUGGGCAGUUAAGUUGAUAGUUGAGGGAUUUGAGCAAGGUUGGAGGGUGGGUUAUGCUGGACAUUUUCCGAGUUUGGGUUCAGAGGAGGAAAAUGGAGUGGAAGCCUUUAAUCGCCCAGAGUGUUGACAUCGACAAUCGGAAUUGACAAAUCUUGCUUUUUCUGGAGCUCGACCCUCAAUUCAACAAUCUGUUGUAUCAGCUGUGCAAUUAACUCAUUUUGUUCAACAACAGGGGGCUGAACUAUAGCAACUUCACUCAGGCCAAUAUUCUCACUAUUCUAGGUCAUUUUCAUUUUCCUUUCAACAAAUUGCAAUUAGGGAUGGAAUCUUUGAGAACUUUGAAUGUUCAACCAAUUUCUCUACACAAAUCAGUUUUGAGUACCUUACAAAGAAAAAUAACUCAAAAGACAAAUGUGUUAGUUUGUGUAGGUUAAUAGAUAAUACAAGAUAUCACACACAGCGUAAUAAGUACACAAGAGUCGCUUCAUUCGGAGAUAAAUAUGCCCAUAUAUAUAGAAAAAUGACUAAAUAGACAGGAAUUUGUCUAUUUGAUUUUGAUCUUAGUGAAUUAGGAAUGUCGACUUGAGUCGAGAUAAAGUCGAUUGUAUCUUUCGUUGUCGUACUUUUGAUUUUUUGAUUGAGAUGUAACUCUAAUUUCUUUGUAAGGGUUGGAAAAGAUAGAAUUUCUCAAAAAUAGGGAAUGAACCUUGAAAGGUUGCCUGCGUAUCUCACAGAGGAGAAUUCAGGUCCAAGGUAGUUCGAACCACUUGAAUCUCUUUUCGAUUUGAGAUAAAGGGUUAACUUUUUUUUUUUGAGAUGAGAAAGUAAGAAUUGAAAAAUAAAGUUUAAAUUUUGUUGGGAAACUAAAGACUGGAAGAGUAUUUGGACGCACUUUUGAUAGUGACUUGAUAUUUGUGCUUAAAGGGUUCUAGAAAAUAUAUUUCCCCCGAGAAUGAGCAGGCUAGAACAUCUCCAAAUAAAGCAACAUAAUCACACAUGCAGUCAUAACACAUCAACAGUUAUUGCACAUUUUAAACAGAUAUGUGACCCUUUUAUGCCAAGGGUAGGCCUAACGAUUUAAAAGAUGUAUAUAUCAUUUGAAAAAAACCAUUGCCCUCUAAAACCCAAAUUUAUACAAUUAUAUGAAUAAACUGAAUGGGGAUACAUAAUAGGGAAAUAGGAUACAAAUAAUCAGUCUCACGCAAGGGUACAACCCUAAACUAUGCCUCCAUUCGAUCUUGAACUUCAUUCCAUCUCUAAAUGUCCAUGCUUUUGGAUGGAAUGGUAACUAGAUCCUUCUUCAACUAGCACAAACUAUUAUACUCCCUUACCCAAGAGACAAUGGUUUGCCAAACGGCAUAUACAUCCUUAAAAUUUAAACACAUAAGCAUGAUCGUCCAUUAAGGGCGUGGACCAUUUUGGAUUCAAUGUGGUCUUUCUAAUGGGCCCACCAUGCCUUCGGGGUUGGGUCAUCUUUGGCCAAUGCACUAAAUUUCAAGAUUGGGUUUCGUUGUACACAAGUUUGACUAAGAAUGGACUUUAUUUAUAGUGGAUUGGUGACCUAAGAGGACUACUUGGGAUGAGACAGUUAAUGAUCGUUAACUAUCCAGUAGCCAACUACAUUCAUCAGGGUGCCUCGAGAACAAUUUGGUUAACAAACAACCGCAUCCCGCAUAAUCGUCCUUUAAGUAAAAAAUAAAACCAAGUGUCGUUUGACGAAAUAUAUGUCAUGCUAUGAAUCCAACAAAUAUUGCAAAAAAUUAAACAAGUAAACAACAAACAGCCAAACCAAUUAAUUUUAAGGUUAGAACCUAAUUCAAAUCCCUAGCAGAGUCGUCAUUCUAUUUUAUUUAGAAAAAAAGAAAACGACUAGUUUUUAAGAGUCGCCACUUAAUUUUUAAAGAAAAAUUAAGAAAACUUAUUUUUUUCAAAAGAUUAAAAUAGUAAAUCUAAUGAAAAUAUUAAAGUGGGUUCGGGGUUCAUAUUAACAUUCAGGGAAGGGUUUAAAAGCACCCGAAAUGCCCAGUAACACGCGAUUAUCUGAUAAUUAACUAUUUGGCUAAAAAUCAGUUGACUUAAUUCAAAUUCAGAGAAUGAACAAUUUUGAAAGUUAAGACCAUUUUAAGGGGGAAAAGGGGAAAUAUUGAGAUAUUACCUAAGUACAAUACUUUACAAAAUUAUGUUUUAAGAUCAAAGGAAAUGAGGGCUUAAUUAGUUAAGUUUUAGAAAAUUAGUUCAGACUGGCUAUUUGUCGGGAAAAUUAAAUCAUAGUAACCUUAAGAUUAACAACAACUAACAAUAGGUAGACAAAUAUAAAAUAAUAAAAUAAAGAGGGAAAUUUGGGCCCAAGUCUGAUUUCCUGUCCGCCUGGGCCAGUGCUUGGGCCUAAUCUCAUUUUGGGCCUUUGGCCUAUUUAAAUCACCUUCACUUGUCUUAGUCUAAUAUAAAGAAAAUAUCUUUCUUUUGGGCCUUAGGCGCAAUUCUUCCACCUGUUAUAAAAAAAACUAACAAGUAAUAGCAAAAUAAAUGCACCUUUGGCCCAAUUACAAUACAAUAAAAUAAAUGGACAUUUUGGGACUUUUGGGCCCCAUUUCUGCGGCACUUGUAUAGUGUGUACAAUGAAUGUAUAUUGCUGUAUAUAGCACGUAUACAGCCCCAUCUUGGGCCUCCCGAGAUCCGUAAUCAAUUUCCAGCCCUCCAUAGACCUGUUCCGACGACUUGACUGACUUGAUAGAGGUGGAAUUUGAGCCUUUAUGGCUCUUUCGAAAUGCAUAGGAAAGGUGGAAUUUGAGCCUUUAUGGUUCCACAUACAUAUUUGAGUCAUUUUGAAUCCAAAAAAACAAAAGAAAGGAGUGUAUGUCUAAUAAAAACUAAUACGACCACACUAAAAACCAGAAACAAAGCAUUGAGCCAAAUCAACAGCUAGAUAUUGGACUUAAAACCAAAGCACAAAAUAUGAUUCAAGAACGAAACGACGAAAUAUUCCUUUUUCGGAGCAGUGACGUGGGACAACAAACUUGAAAUGACUUCACCAACAUUAAGGUAUGAUUCCGAGAACUUGGACGAAUAAACAAAACAAACUAGAGCAAAACCUGAACCAAAUCAGAAUGUAUGGUUUCUCUAUUCUUUCAAGAACUGUAUGUUUUAAGUGUGUUUCUUCCUCUCUAAUGCUAGUUAAGUUUCAAUAUUUUCUCCAACCUUUUCCGGCAACCCUUUACACUGAAAAGAAGAGAGUUUAUAUAGAGGAAGACUAGGCUGAUUUUUGGGGAGAAAAAGGGUUAAGAUUUUUGGAUGAAAUUUCAAUUUCAAAUUCAAGAAACCUCUUGAGGAGAUAAGGUUGAAAGUUGUCCAUUGUACUAAUUCCCAACGGAAUUGAAAGGAGAGUUGUAUGAUCUUUGGAGCAAGGACGCUUGAGGUGUGAGAUUGCUCCACCUGGAAGAUUCGCAUACGAUUCGGGUACAGAGAGAGACACGCCGUGAUGCUGGACUCGAGUCGCAUUUUGGGUUGCUGGGUUUCGCGCUGCUGGACUAGUUUUGGGCGUCUGGUUCGCUGCUCGUUUCUGGGUUUCACACUUCGCUGGAGAAGAAGAUGUGAGUAUAGGGGUCGUUCUGGUAUUUGGUCUUGCUAUACGUAUGUUGUAUUGUUGUAUGGGUAUUGUAUGGGCUGCUGAUCGGAACUGUUUUGGUCUAGGUUAAUUGGCAAUGAUGAAAAUUGGAAAAGAAUGGGUUUGUUUAGUUUGGGAAUUGGGCUGCUGGAAAUGGCACUACAUAGCCCAAAAUUGGUCUCCAAAUGGGUUAGAUCUAAGAGUUUAUGAAAUAGUCAAAUUAAGUUAAAUUAACAAAUUUGGCUAAACCCUAAAUAAUACGAAUUGAUAUUAAUUAAUUAAUGAGCUUCUUAAUCUUAACGAAAUAAAAUAAUUAACUUAAUUGUAAACUAAUGAUUCAAAAUUUAAACUAAACUAAUUUAAUAAAAUACUUUCUAAAAUUAAAAUCUUUUUGAGAUGAUUUUCGAAAUGUUUAUAAAAUAUACUAAUUAUAUACAAAAUUAUAUUACACGUAUGUAUUACUUAAAAAUUAUAAAAAUGAUAAAAUUGAUUAAAAGUAACUUGAAAAAUAUUUUGAACUUUAUAAAAACUAAUUAUUUUAAAUUCUUUGGAAUUUAAGAAGCUCAGUGAUUUCUAUAUUGUGGAGGUCCAAAAUUGGGUGUCAACAGCAUCUCCGCAUUGCGGACUUGCUUCCUGAUAGUGAUUUCUUGAUCGUUUCUCAUGUUUAACUAUCUAAAAACACACCUAAACAUCACGAGAUCUUUCGUAUCGUAAAUCACAAUCUUGAAUUAAUAAAUAAUAUUCAAUGUGGAGUUGAGAGUCAAGUUUUGAGAGUUCUUUCGAACAUUUUUGAGAAAGUCCCUUUUGAGUGGUUUUGAGGAGUCUUCUACAAUUUCUAAUAACUUGUUUCAAGACUUAAGCAAGUGAGUACGAGAAUGAGGAGAAUGUAUUCAUGAGUCUACUUUUUCAUCACGAGAUCCUUCAUAUCAUGAACCAUAACUCUUGAAUUCAUAAUUCACAUUCAAGAGACAACUAAGAGUAGAGUUCAAGAAAGUCUUUGAGUUCAAUUGUGAAUUCUUUGAGAUCAACUAUCGAUUUGAGCUAAGAUUUGAGGAAGUAAGUAUUAGAAUGACAAGAGUCGUAUACAUGAGUUCCAUAUUGUGGUGGAGACCCUCGAGUCGAGUCGUUCAUUCCCAUAAUUUUUGCAUGAACUACAUAUUUUAGUAUCUUAGAGAGGAGUAGUAUCUUCAAGUUCUAAGUCUUGAGUAUUGAAUUCAUAAUCCUUUUGAGAUUAUAUUCCUAAUCAUGGGACUAUUGCAUGUUACCCAUGAAGUCCUUGAUUUGAGUAGUUCAUGCCCAUAACUCCGCAUGAACCUUAUAAGUCGAGCAGUCUUGAGAUGAUAAGUAUAUUUGAGUCCUUAAGUUGAGUAGUUCAUGCUCAUAAUUCCGCAUGAACCCUUUGAGUCGAGUAAUCCUGUAAUGAGUAGUAUCAUGGAAGUUCUUGAGUUUUGAGUAUUGAGUUCUAUCUAUGGUUAUAAAAAACAUUGAAUUGAGUCGUUCACAUCCAUAAUUCGGCAUGAACCCUAUUUUAAGAUGUUUUUUUUACAAAUUGUUUUAAAACUUGUUUUAAAGACUUGAGCAUUGAGUUGAGUAAAGAGUAAAGAGUGAAGUUCAUUUCUUCAAAAGAGUAUAUGGGGACUAUGUAUUCCCAAAGAUUAAUUUAUUUCACAAUUAAUCAAGAUAGAAAACACCGAUUUCCAAAAGAAUUUUUGAACUAGUUUUCAGUAGAUAGUAAAUGUUUUCACAUUUAAUCAAGAGAGGAAACACUGAUUUCCAAGAGAGCCUUUGGGCUAGUUUUUGAGCAAUUAUUUCAAUUCACAGAAAGAGUUAUGUUCUUAAACAUAUGAGCUAGUUACAUUUUUGGGAGUAGUAUUGAUCACUGAUAUGGGGGAGAGUUCAGAAAACUCACAACCCCCAUAAACCAUGUAGCCAACGUGGGUAGAAAAUGGUCAUACUUUUUAGAUGAUUCAUUAGUGCUUUUUAGCAUAGACUAGUGGAUCAACUUAGUAGUUAGGUUCUAUAACCCGGCAAGGUAUAGGACGGCCCUGGCAGCGUGAGACAAAAUGUUGUAUCAUCUCAUAGCUCAUAGUGAUGGUUGUCAGUAGGAGAAACUCCCACAAAGAUUAUUUUGUAUUCUUAUAUACACAGAGUUUAUUUUGUAUUUUCAUAUGCAAAAAUAUUUUAUUUUGUAUCCUUGCAUACAAAAUGAGUAUAUUGUAUUCUUAAAUACAUUAAGUUGCUUUCUACUAUUUUAAAAGCUUUCCAUAUACUGCAUCUCUUAUUGUUGUUUUAUAUUGAGUUGCGUAUCCUGAGUUGAGCAUCCAGAGUUUGAGUAACUAUACUCGAGUUUCUCAUUAUUGAGUUGAGCCUUCUUUCACUAAGUUGAAUAUCUUAUUAUUGAGUUGAGCCUUAUUUCACUUUGUUGAAUAUCCAAUUACUUAGUUGAGUCUUAUUUCACUGAGUUGAAUAUCUUAUUAUUGAGUUGAGCCUUAUUUCACUGAGUUGAAUAUCUUAUCAUUGAGUUGAGCCUUAUUUUGUUUGAGUUGAGUUCAACUCUGUUUCUUUGAGUUGGGUUGAGUUGAGUUGAGUGAGUUGAGAAGAGGUAAGUAUGUUUGUUUUCCAUAAGUUCAAACUUAUGUUUAUGCUUCAGAAUUCUCCUUACAUUCUCGUACAUUCCAUGUACUGAGCCUUUUGGCUUGCAUUGUCUCAUGAUACAUAUAAAGGUACUCAGGAUCAUCAACAGACACAUCGUUGAUACAAUAUGUAGUUCGAGUUAGCUAUGGUGAGCCUCCUUGCUUUCAGAUGGUCCCACUUGUACUUUCAGUUAUAUCAGUUGUUAUAGGAUGUCGUGGGUCUCAUCCCGACUUCCAUCUUUGUCAGUUAGAGGCUUGAUAGAUAGACAAUAGAGUUUCAGAAGUCUGUUCAUUUAUUUUCUUAAUGUUUUAAAGACUCGAGUUGCCUAUUUUUGGCUAGUUGACUAUUUAUAUUCAAAGUAAAUUAUUUGAGUUAAAGCUUUGUAUUUGAGUUUCAUGAAUUUUAUUCAGUUUUUAAGUUUUGUAUGCUUGAGUUGGUCCGGUCUUCUCCUUGUAGUCAUCUAGGAUAAGGGUUCGCUUGGGGACUAGCAAUGAUUCUCGAGUGCCGGCAACGUCCAGGGUGUAGACUCGGGUCGUGAUAUAGAGUCUUGCUCAAAUAUGAAAUAUUUCUUUAGAAAUAUCUUACCCAUGAUUAGGGAAGUUAAAAUAUGAAAGUUUAUAAAAUAAAAUAGAGCUAGAAUCAACCUUUAAGUUCUCAAUUUAUCAAAGUUUAACUUUAUGGGAAAAUUACAAUUCUCAAGCGCGGUUAAUAUGAUAAAAAUAAUUGAUGAAUCAACAAGUUUACGCCAAAAUCAAAUUAGCCAUAACAUAAGGAUCGUAAAUAUACAUUUUUCCAUCAAAAACCGAGUCUAAAUUGAUAAAUUCCUAUUUUUCUCCCAAUAAUAUAUGGUUAAGGAAAGAAAACCUCAUGAAAAAAUCAUGAUAAAAUUUCAAAAUGAGGAUCAAAUACUAACCCCCGUAUUAAAUUGAGAAUAAUGCCGCAAGAAUCACUCUAUUCCGAGCUCUAAAACUCUCAAUAUGCUCAAAAUACUAAAUGAACACAGUAUGAAAUUUUAAAUACCUAAACAACAAUAUUUAAACAAUAAACCACCAACUUAAUUUUUCACUAAAAGACCCAUAACUUCCUUAUACGAUAGAGAAAUGAAAUAUUUCUUUUUUCUAAAUCUCUUAAAUAAUGAUAUGGAGUUGCUCAUUCAAUUGAAACUCAAUUCCGUUCUCGUUUUCCAGUCAUAUGUCAAUUCAUAUCGGUAAAUAAUUAUUUCAUAUAUCGCGAUAAAAGUUGAAUUUUGGCUUAGCAAAAAAUGCUCCAAACUUUUCUUAUCAUUCCUAUGAUUCAUACUUAAACUUUCAAAUGUUUUGGAAUAAUUUUUCAAUAUUUAAAACUAAUAACGAACUUUUAGUUGAUACAAAUUGCUGAAACAAUUCCAAAGCACCUAAAAAGCUUAAAAAGUCACCUAAACCUCAUUCUGAACUUCCCAAUCACAAACCAAAUAUGCUACUAGCUUGGAAAGGAUAAUGGAAUCAUCUAAACACCCAAACAAGAUCACCUUAACCCAAUAUUGACCAAAAUCAACUUUAACUUGGGAAUCUCCAAAUUUCUAAAUAAGGACACGAAAGACAUCCAAAAGUGUUUGGAAUUGGUCCAAACCUUCAACUAGACCAAAUAUCAUCAUUUGGAACUAGUGGAAUCAUCAAAACUUGAAAAUAACCUGAAGCAUUGAAUAAAGUCAAACUUUAGCCUUAACUUUUCCGACAUCUCAUCUAAUAGUUUAAAAUGAAAUCAAAAGUCUUCAAACCCAAAUGAAAAAUACAUCUAGACCAUAAACUAUGUUACGAAGCUAACAAAAUUUUCAGAAUUAGCUUGCGAUUAUAAAAUGCUCACUUUGAUCAACUAUCUAAUGCUUUUAACUUUCGAAACACAAAAACACUUCCAAAACUCAUCUAAAUACAUGAGGACCUGAGCCAUUAGUCCUAUAACUCAAAAGUCAUGUUUUGGAGCUGAUGGAACUGACAUAAUUCCAUUUCAAGACUCGAAACUUCAAAUGUUUAUUAAAGUCAACCAUUUCAACUUAAAAGCUUCCAAAUCUCAAAAACCUACAAAAAUCUCAACUCUAUAAUUAUUUACCAAUCUGACUUCAAAAACUGAUUAAACAUGACUCAAGACAACUAUCAAGAUUGGUAAAAUGGUAAAAAAAAUUACAGAAAAUUAUAAAAAUGACCAUCAGGAUCAUUACAUUCAUUGAUCUCAACCAAACACGCUCCAGACUUGUUUCAUGGAUGACUAUUAUUUUUACAUGAUUUGAAGUAAUGACUACUAGCAUUUAUUUAAUUGAAUACCAAUAUAUUGUUGUCCCUUCACAUAUCGAUAAAUAACUUAUUUAUGACCAAGCUUUAUGCAUAUUAAAUGAAUACCAUACAUUUGCUUAACCAAUCAUUUCUAAUAUGAAUUCUUUGGAAUAAAAUAAACGCAUGUCCAUGAUACUCUAAAAAUAUCUAAAUAAGUGCUUAACGUCAUUCCAAUUUCUUCUUCUUGGGGAGGAGCUGAAUUUUUCCAAUAAACUCAGUACAAAAUAAAUAUCUGAUAGAGUAUUAUUAGCAAAGAACAUCAGUGACUUGUUUGUACCAAGAUAUGAAGUUUAAUUAUCAAAAAACUCAUCAUCUUUCUUUUCAGGUCGAAAUGGAUCUUUAUUUAUGUCUAACAAUUUCACAAUCGUUGGGGGUACUCAAUGAAUGUGAUUUAUCCAUGUAAAAUUGGUUCAAUUUUUUUUUUUGUAUGUUGAUUGAUGAACAAAUAUUCCAUUUGUCAAAUUCUCAAACUUUAGGUCAUGACAAAAUAUUUUCAUAUCAAGAUCUUUCAUUUCAAAUUUCUUUUUUAAGAAAUCAACAACUUUUGAAAGGUCUUUUAGAGUGCCUAUGUUGUUCAAGUCAUCAAUAUACACAACUGUUAAAAUAAAUUUAGACCCCCACAUACUUAUAAAAGAUGCAAGGAUAAAUAGGAUAAUUGAUGAGUGGUGGAUUUGCACUCAUUUAGAGUUCUUUUCUUAUGAUUUUGUGUCACUCAAAGUAGAGAAAGAGGUUAUUUAUACUUUAAAUUGUGUUAUUUUAGGUAUUUUGAUGUUCGAAAAGAAAAUGCUGAUAAAAAGUGGAAUCGAGGUUGAAAAAGAUAGAAACCUGGCAGAAAAAGAAGUCCCAAAAAUCGCACUUGUGGAUCACUGAUCGCUUUAAAAAUCCAAUCAACGAAGUUGACCAUCCGCUUAAGCGAGGACACGGGGUGAGCUUUUGCGAAUUGGGUCAAAAGGGCGGAGGUCGCUUAAGAAAAUUGAAGUUCGCUUUUGCGAACCUCCUAUCACGUUUGCGAAGCCUACCUUUUUCAGACAGGGACAGAAUGAGAAAUUCUUGAGCUUUGCUACCAAUAUUCAUAAAAUAAGGUUAUAUUUGAGCAUAAUGGAUGAUCCAAUAAUAGUUAGAGAGAUAAAAUUGUAGAGAGAAAAACACAUUCAAAAAGUAGAUCUCUUAGUGUUCUGGAUUUGGUGUUAAGACAUUGAAGGCAAGUUGCCUCGCAUUUCAUUUGUGGAUUCAAAGUUUGUGUUCUAUUUUAGUAAUAUCUUUUACCUUACUUUAUUUUCUUUUUCUUAUUACUAGAAAUGCAGGUGUAAUAUUUGUAUGAAAUUAGGGCUUUUGUUCUAGAAAUAGACAAAACUAUUUGGGUGUUUGAUUAAUUGAUUUAUUGCUUUUGUAGUUCCUUGUUUCCAUGUUGGAUUUCAUGAAAUAGGUUACAUAUAGUUUUCAUAUUUGAAUUUAUAGGUUAAGAGUGAACGCUAAAUCUUAGCUUCCGAUCUGUGGUCGAUGCUCGAAAAAGAUUGAUUGUAGUGAAGAAUUAGAUUAAUGAUCGCAUUUUGAAUUUGAAUCUUGAUUUUGAGAUCAAAAGAUAAAAGUUUAGUGUCAUUGUUGGGUGCAAGGAUUCCUUCAAAGAGAGGUCUAAGUUAAGGUAGUGGUUUAAUUUGUAUUUGUGUGACUGAGACCAAAAGGAAAUAUCACAAUAAAAUGUUUUGAGAUCAAAAGAUAAUUAGUGUAAUUGAAGAUGACCUAGCCUACUUAUUAGUGAUUGAUCUUAUAUGGAAUUGGAAUGGAUCGUUGAGUGUUCAUUGGUUCCCAAAAUUUUCCAAUUCUCAUACAUCCCUUGCUUGAUAUCGUCUUUGUCCCCAUUAGAAGUGUAGUUAUAAAAAUUACUUUCUAUUUAUAGUUGUGUACCUUGUAUGUCUAAAUUCAAACUAGUAUCUAGUUAGCCUUUAUAUUCUUAAUUACCAUUAUAUUGUUCCUUGUGGAUUCGACCCCAACUCUUAGUUGGAUAUUUGUAUUGACGAUAAUCGCUCACUCUUUUGAUUCGUUUGGAGGAUGAUUUGAGCGUUAUAAAAAAUGGCAUCGCUGCCGGGGAACAAUUAGUUGUAUUGAAUUGAUUUAGGAUUUUUAGUUCACUUUUUUCUAUCUAGAUUGUGAAUAGUUGACUUUAUUUUCUUUUGGUUUUUUUCUAUGGCUUUUUUUUAUCACUACAUCUUUGGGAGAGGUAUGCCCUUCACCGACCCAGGGCCUUUCGAUCAACCAAAUGUAAUAAGUCAAUUGAAGCUUAGGGAUGUGGAUGUAAAGCUCAGUUAGGGCAAAAAAUCCCUAUUCCUUCUCCCUAAAGAAAUGGAAAGGUUUUGAAAAAGGUACCUAGGGAUGUGCUCACUCUUAUUUUGGGAGUAGUAUUGAGCACCGAUAUGGGGGAGCGUUCAGAGAACUCCCAGCCCCCAAAAACCAUGUAACUAUCAUGGGUAGAAAAGGGUCAUAAUCUUUAGAUAAACCCUUAGUGCUUGUUACCAUAGACUAGUAGAUUCACUUAGUAGUUCAGGUUCUAUACCCCAAGUAAGGUAUAGGAUGGCCCUGGCAGCGUGGGGCCAAGAAACGUUGUAUCAUCACUAUAUCUCUUCACUCAUGGUUGUCGGUUAGAGAAACUCCCACAACAAUAUUUUAUAUUUUUAUAUAAAUCAGAAAUAUUUGUAUUUUCAUAUAAAAACAGAGUCCAUAUUGUAUCUUUGCAAACAUAUAAAUUUAUUAUUGUAUUUCUAAAUACACAGAGUUGACAUCAUGUUUUAAACAGAUGUUCUUUAUGUUGCACUUGUUUUUAAACUGCUUUAUAUUGAAAUAUGUUCAGUAAGUUGAUUUAAGUUGCUCAGGAGUUGAGUAAAGCCAAGGUAAGAGUUUCUUUUUGAUCCUUUUCAAGCUUAAGUUAUGUUUAGCAUUCCAACUCGCAUACUCGUGCAUUCAAUGUACUCAUGCCAGUUGGCCUGCAUCUUAUUAGUAUGCAGAUGCAUGUAACCAGGAUCAACAUCCAGCUCAUCGUUGUUCCAGUUGAGCUUCAGAGUUGUUGGUGAGCCUCUUUGCAUUCCGGAGGAUCCACCUUUUUCAUUACUUUAUCAUUUUAGCUCAUUACGAUGUCGUGGCCCUGUCUUGACAUACAUCUCAGUUGUUUUAGUGGCUUCAUAGAAAGUCUGUCAGAUCUUAGUUCAUUCAUCAUCAUUUUGUUGUUGGCUUAUGUUAAGAUUUGAGUUGCCAUUUUGGCUAAGUUAAAUGUUUAUAUUUAAAAUAUUAUAAGUUCAGUUUGAGAUAUAUUGAGUUAUCUUGUAUUUAGAUUCUCUUUCUUAUGUCUAAGUCCUAUGCUAAGUAAGUAAGCCAGACCAAGAGUUCGCUUGGGGCCAGCAAUUGUUCUCGAGUGCCCGUCUCUCCCAGGGUGUAGGAUCGAGGUGUGACAAACUUGGUAUUAGAGCCCAGAGUUCAAGAGUCCUUGGGAGUCUAUGAAGCCGUGUCUGUAGAGUCCUAGUUAUCGGUGUGAAGCGCGCCACAUCUAUAAUUAGGAGGCUGCAACAUUUAGGAAAAAAUUCUCACUUCCUUCACAUUCAUUUCGUGCAUUAGAGUUGAUCUCUAAAAAGUUUCCUUAUAAUUCGUGCUUGCGCAUGUUUUCAGAUAAUCAUGCCUCCACGAAGAGCAAUCAGAGGUCGUCUUGCUAGAAGAAAUGUCGAGGAACAAGGGGUACCUAAUGCACCAGAAGUGCAACCCUAAGGAGAGGUCACCAAUGUUGAAUUCUGUGAAGCUAUCCGGAUGUUAAGUCAAGUUGUGACCCAUCAAGAGGAACAAAGAGAUAAUCGAUAGGAAGUGGCUGAUACUUCAAAUAUCCGUGAGUUUUUAAGGAUGAAACCACCAAGCUUCACAGGUUCAAGUGUCACAGAGGAUCCAGAGAACUUUGUUGAAGAGCUUCAGAAAUUUUUUGAGAUUAUGCAUGUUGAAAAUGCUAAGAGCGUGGAACUAGCUGCAUACCAAAUGAAGGGUGUCGCUAGAGUUAGAUUCGACCAAUGGCAAAAGAAUAAGGCUGAGGAUGUGCUAAUAGUGAGUUGGGCUAUGUUUGAGAGUGCUCUAAUGGGACGUUUCUUUCCCCGUUAGUUGCGAGAGGCAAAUAUAAGAGAGUUUCUCACCCUUAAUCCAGAGUCUAUUAGUGUUCAUGAGUAUAGUCUGAAGUUCAAACAACUUUCCCGCUAUGCCUCGGAGAUGGUUGCUGACGUGAGGAGCAGGAUUAGUUUAUUUGUUGCUGGGUUAUCUCGUUAGUCAAGCAAGAAAGGCAACGCAGUGUUAUUGAUAGGGGAUAUGGACAUAGCAAGGCUAAUGAUCCAUGUGCAACAAAUUGAGGAGGAUAAGCUGAAGGAUAGAGAAAAGUUUAAGAAUAAGAGGGCUAAGACAUCAGGGAGCGAGUUCAGGCAACAAAAAGAGUAAUGUGAACCGGUCUUCCUUCCAACAAAAACAGAAGAGACAUGCCCCCAUCAUCUGCUAGUACACCUGCACCCAGAAACAAAGGAGAGUAUAAUGGCCUGAAUUCGCAGAACUUCAGAGCUAGACCUGCACAGUCUUAAGGUAGUGUGGUACAAGGAGGUAAUUGGGCUCCUGCAUAUGAUAGGUGUGGUAGAACCCACCCAGGUAAGUGUCGUAAUGGCCAGACAAGUUGUUUCAAGUGUGGACAAGAGGGUCACCUCAUGGAAGAGUGCUCAAAGAAUAGGCAAGGUAAUGGUAAUAGGGGCAAUAGAGCCUAAUCUUUACUAGUUACUCCACCAGAUAGGGUAACACCUAGAGGGGCUACUUCUUGUACUGGCGAAGGAAUAAACCGCUUGUAUGCUAUCAAUAGUUGCCAAGAGCAAUAGGAUUCGCCAGAUGUGGUCACUGGUAUGAUCAAAGUCUUUGACUUUACUACUUAUGCUUUGCUAGGUCCAGGAGCGAGUUUGUCUUUUGCAACUCCUUAUGUUGCUAUGAAUUUUGAUUUUAUUCUUGAGCAACUUAGUGAACCAUUCAAUGUUUCUACACCUGUUGGUGAGUCUAUUCUAGUAGAGAGAGUCUAUCGUGAUUGUCCCGUUUCUGUCAAUCACAAGAGUACCAUUGCUAAUUUAUUUGAGUUACACAUGGUAGAUUUUGAUGUCAUUAUUGGUAUGGACUGGCUUCAUGCUUGUUAUACCUCAGUCGAUUGUAGAACUCGAGUUGUCAAGUUACAGUUUCCAAAUGAGCUAGUCUUAGAGUGGAAAAGUCGUUCAACAGUACCCAAGGGUUGUUUCAUUUUGUACCUUAAGGCAAGAAAGUUAGUUUCUAAGGGUUGUAUCUAUCACUUAGUCCGAGUUAAUGACUCUAGUGUGGAGAUACCUCCCAUUCAGUCAGUUCCUAUAGUAAAAGAGUUUCCAGAUGAUCUUCCCGGAGUCCCUCCUAAGAGAGAGAUAGACUUCGAUCUAGACCUUCUUCCAAAUACUCGUCCUAUAUCUAUUCCACCAUAUAGAAUGGCACCAGCAGAGUUGAAAGAGCUUAAAGAGCAGUUGCAAGAUCUUUUAGAGAAAGGUUUUGUUCGACCAAGUGUCUCGCCUUGGGGCGCUCUGGUCUUAUUUGUGAGAAAGAAAGAUGGUUCCCUUAGGAUGUGUAUAGAUUACCAUCAAUUGAAAAAGGUUACUAUCAAAAAUAAGUAUCCUCUUCCGAGAAUUGAAUUUCUUAUUCGAUCAACUUUAGGGUGCCACUUAUUUUUUUCUACAAUAGAUCUCUAAUCUGGCUAUCAUCAGUUAAGAGUAAGGGAAUGUGAUAUUCCAAAGACAAAUUUCAGAACCCAUUAUGGUCAUUAUGAGUUUCUGGUCAUGUCAUUCGGUUUGACUAAUGCACCUGCAUCGUUCAUGGAAAUUAGGAAUAGAGUUUUCAAAUCUUAUUUAGAUAUGUUUGUUCUCAUCUUUAUUGAUGACAUACUAAUCUAUUCAAGAAAUGAACAAAAUCAUGCUAGUCACCCCAUAAUAGUUCUCUAGACUUUAAAGGAUAGAGAGUUGUAUGCUAAGUUCUUGAAAUGUGAGUCUUUGCUUGAGUGUGUGGCAUUCUUGGGUCACAUAAUUUUUGGUGAUGGAAUUAGAGAGGAUACUCAAAAGAUAGAGCCAUUGUAUAGUUGGACUAGACCCAUAUCUCAAAUUGAUAUUAGGAGUUUCUUGGGUUUGGCUAGGUAUUAUAGAAGGUUUGUAAAGGGGUUCUCAUCCAUUUCGUCUCCUUUGACCAAGUUGACUAAGAAGAUAGUGAAGUUUCAAUGGACUGAAGCUUGUGAGAAAAGCUUUCACGAAUUGAAAAAGAGGUUAACUACUGCCCAGUGUUGACCUUUCCAAAAGGUUCUCAAGGUUUCAUAGUGUAUUGUGAUACGUCUAGAGUUGGUUUGGGUUGUGUGUUAAUGUAGAAUGACAAGGUUAUAACUUAUGCCUCCAGAAAAUUGAAAGUUCAAGAGAAGAAUUACCCAACCCAUGCUUUAGAGUUGGUUGUUGUAGUAUUUUCUUUGAAAAUAUGGCCCCAUUAUCUUUAUGGUAUUUAUGUGGAUGUGUUCACCGAUAACAAAUCUUCAGUAUGUGUUUAGUCAGAAAGAUCUUAAUCUCAAACAUAUAAGGUGGUUAGAGUUACUCAAAGAUUAUGACAUGAGUAUUCUUUAUCACCCAGGUAAGGCUAAUGUUGUUGUUGAUAACUUAAGAAGGUUGUCUAUGGGUAGUACCACCCAUUUUGAGGAAGAUAAGAAAGAGUUAGCAAAAGAGGUGCAUAAACUUGCAUGACUAAGAGUUCGAAUAAUGGAUUCCACAGAAGGAGGAGUAGUGCUGAUGAAUGGGGCUGAAUCAUCAUUAGUGUCAGAAGUAAAAGGCGAGCAAGACCAAGACCCUAUCUUGCUUGAAUUGAAGGCAAAUGUUCAUAAGCAAAAAGUAUUAGCUUUUGAACUAGGGGGAGAUGGUGUGUUGAGACAUCAAGGUAGGUUGUGUGUACCAAUGGUGGAUGGAACCCAAGAAAGGAUCAUGGAGGAAGCUGAUAGCUCCAUAUAUUCCAUUCAUCCGGGUUCCACCAUGAUGUACCGUGUCUUGAGAGAAGUCUAUUGGUGGAAUAGUAUGAAGAAGAGAUAUGCACAUCUCAUCAAACCCAGAGAAAUUCCAGAUCUAGGUACUAAUCCUUUAUGAGUAUUUAUUUACAAGUGAUCAUGUUGUUUUUUGCAUUUGUUUGUUGGGUGUUUGAACCUGGUGUUACCACCUUUUGCCUAGUAAGAGUAUUCUCAUUCGAGGACGAAUGUUCCCAAGGGGCAGAUAUUGUAUCAUCUCGCAAUUAGAAAUAUUUAGGAAGAAGCUAAGAACUAGAAAUUGUCAUUUUUGGAAAUAAUGAAAAAUCUGGAAAUUUGUUUAAGUUAGGAAAAGUAAGGUUUUGGUCAACUUCAAACGGCCAUAACUCCUAGAUCAGAAUGAUUUAGGUGUACUUCCAGAGAUGGUUGGAAAUCUCUUGGAAUAAUCUUUUAAACUUCGCUGAGUUUGCGUGAUUCUGAGUUCGUAUGAGUGAGUUAUGUCCUUUGAAAGUUGGGCUGUUGGAAUUAGAAAAGGGUAGUUUGGUCUUUUCCUUACCCAACUUAAUUAAUUCGAUUUUAGGAGUUUAGUUGGGGUAAAGUCAGAUUUCAAUCAGUUUUAGAAAGGUGAAUUUCACGUUAGGGUUUUAGAGAAGAGGAAAGAAAAGGAGAAAAGAGAAGGAGAAGCAAGGAAAUCGUCAAGUGCGUCGAGUUUAGCUUGUGGAUUUCGUUGGGGGUGAUCCCUACAAGGUAUGUUAGAUCACAUAGCAUUGGGUUAGUUCACCCACGCGCCAAUCAUGAUUAAAUUUCAGCGAAGUUAUUCAAUUUGAAAGUAAAUCCUUGAGUUCUUGAAAAAUUUCGUUUGAAUUCUUGUGGGUUCUGUUGAUUGGAGUUUCUUGAGAUUGAUUCACCUUUUUGGUUGUGUUUUUGAGUAGAAUCUGAUGUACUUUGAACAUAUAAUCGGUUCUAAGUGUUUGGGGAAAGAACCUAUGGAGUUUAGAGGGUUUAGACUUGAAAAACGAAGAAGAAAUUUCUUCGGACGAAAUCUGGUAGUGGUGGCACGUCGCAGAGCUAGUCCCCAGAAUUGGAAAAAUUCGUUUCGCAUCGAGAAACCGUCACAGACCGUUCUUCCUCAAAAGUCAUUUUCGAAACCCAAAAUUAAAUGUCUCCCCUCAAAUAUUGAUUUUUUGGUCUUUUCUCAUGUUUAGCUAUCUAAAAUCAUUCCUAAACAUCAUGAGAUAUUUCCUAUCACAAAUCUCAACCCUUGAAUCCAUAAUUCAAUUCAAGGAUCAGUUAAGAAUCAAGUCAAGAUCAGUUAAGAGUCAAGUCAAGAUUAGUAAAGAGUCAAUUCAAGGAUCAGUUCAGAGUCAAGUCAAGAUCAGUAAAGAGUAAAUUCAAGGAUCAGUUCAGAGUCAAGUCAAGAUAAGUAAAGAGUCAAUUCAAGGAUUAGUUAAGAGUCAAGUCAAGAUCAGUUAAGAGUGAAGUUAGGACUAGUUAAGAGUCAAGUCAAGAGCAGUUAAGAUCAAAGUCAAGAGAAGUUCUUAUAGUUUUCCAAAAGUCUUUUCCAAAUGUUUUAACUUUGUUUUAAGACUUAAAGUUUAAGUUGAGUAAAGAAUAAAGAGUAAAGUUUGAAGUCCAUUUCUUCAAAUGAAUAUGGGGAAUAUGUAUUCCCAAAGGGUUUAAAAUGAUUUUAGAUUUAAACAAGUAAGGAAACCUCAAUUUCCGAAGGGCCAUCGAGCUAGUUUUCAUAAAAGAGUAAUCGUUUUUUAAAUGAAGCAAGAUGGGAAACUUUGAUUUCCAAGAUAGCCUUUGAGCUAUGUUUUUGAGCACUAAUCUCAAAUCACGGAAGAAGUAUGUUUUAAACAUAAAGAGCUGGUAUCAUAUUUUGGGAGUAGUAUUGAGCAACGAUAUGGGACAACGUUCAGAGAACCCCCAGCCCCCAUAAACCAUGUAUCCAUCAUGGGUAGAAAAGGGUCAUAAUUUUUAGAUGAACCCUUAGUGGUUUUUAGCAUAGACUAGUGGAUCCACUUAGUAGUUCAGGUUUUAUACCCCGAGCAAAGUAUAGGAUGGCCCUGGCAGCGUGGGGCCAAGAAAUGUUGUAUCAUCAUUAUAGCUCUUAAGUGAUGGUUGUCGGUUAGAGAAACUCCCACAACAGUAUUUAUAUUUUUAUAGACAUUAGAAAUAUUUGUAUUUUCAUAUAAAAAUAGAGUUUAUGUGAUAUCUUUGCAUACAUAUUGAGUUAUUAUUGUAUUUCUAAAUACACAGAGUUGAAAUCAUGUUUUAAACUAUUUUUCUUUAUGUUGCACUUGUUUUUAAACUUCUUUAUAUUGAAAUGAGUCUAGUAAGUUGAGUUAAGUUAUUUAGGAGUUGAGUAAAGCCAAGGUGUGUUUCUUUCAGAUACUUUUAAAGCUUAAGUUAUGUUUAGUAUUCCAACUCGCAUACUUGUACAUUCAAUAUACUGAUGCCAGUUGGCCUGCAUCUUAAUAUGAUGUAGACGCAGGUAACCAAGAUCAACAUCCAGUGCAUCGUUGAUGUAGUUGAGCUUCAGAGUUGUUGGUGAGCCUCCUUACAUUCCGGAGGAUCGCCCCUUUUCAUUACUUUAUCAUUUUAGCUCAUUUGGAUGUCGUGGGCCUGUCCCGACAUCCAUCUUAUAUGUUUUAUAUGCUUCAUAGAUAGUCAAUCAGAUGUUAGAUCAUUCUUCAUCAUUUUGUUAUUGGCUUAUGUUCAGAUUUGAGUUGCCAUUUUUGCUAAGUUAAAUGUUUAUUUUUAAAACAUUAUGAGUUCAGUUUGAGACAUGUUGAGUUAUCUUGUAUUUGGAUUCUCUUUCUUAUGUCUAAGUCUUCCGCUGAGUAAGUAAGUCAGGCCAAGGGCUCGCUUGGGGCCAGCAAUGGUUCUUGAGUGCCAGUCUCGCCCAGGGUGUAGGCUCGGGGUGUGACAGUCAUCAUGGAAAUCACUUGUUGAAGAAAUGCAAGGUAAGAAUUAGUAAAUAUUUCUUGCACACACAUAUAUAUGUGCACAAGAAACUUAGUCAAACAAGCUAUAGUAGUCCAACAAACUACAAAUAAUGUAAGAGCUUAUCUCUUUUACUUCAGUUGAUUCUUGAUCACCUUCAAACUUUGAUAAACCCUUAAAUACAUAUUUUCUUACCUUCAAAAUAGAACGAUAUUGUUCGCUCUUAUGAUAGUAAUACCGCAAUCCAACAAAGAUUUUUGUUAAGAACUAACUGUAUAUAUGAUUUUACAAUGUACAAACUGCACCCAUUACAUAGUAAUUAUAUUACUACCUCUCAUUUUCUUGAUAUAUCAUUGGUUAGAGAUUCACUGGUUCUUAAUAAUGAUAAAAACUAGUUAUAUAUAAAAAAAAAUUAAAUAACUAAAGAAAAAUAUAAAAUAUAAAAUUCAAAUAAAUUUGAAUGUGAUAGUAUAGUUGUAAUUUAGUAGUCCAGUUUGAAAUAAGAAAAUAAAGUUCAAUUAUCGUCUAACACAAACAAAACAAAUGUUGUGAUUCUUUUUUCUUUCUUUCUUUUUUAGGAAAAAGAGAAGACAAAACAAGAAAUAAUAUAAUAAAGUGGAGAAUUCACGAUAUUGGUAGUGAUCAAUAAAUCCAAAAAAUUGUAUUUACCAUGUCAAAUGCUCCGGAUCCAUUUUCACGUUGUCUUUUUUCAGCUACCCAUCCAUGUAGCAUCUCCUUGUAUUUACGGUUAAGACGAUCACAAAUUGGUUCUUCUGCAGGAUUUGUACUAACCGCUUGUGGAUUAUAAAUGGUGUAACCGUUAACUUCAGCUUUAUAAGGUUCAAUUCGGAAGCUAACAUUAUGAAAGACUGAUCUUUUCUUCUUCUCAUGAUCAAUCAUGUUUUCACAAAGAUAUUUCUUUUGGAAAAUUUUAAUCUGAUGGGAAUAGAAAUAUCAAAAGGUUGUAUUAAAAGGAAAUAUAUUUUGAAAGAACUCAAUUUCUUCUAAUUUUGAAGAAUCGUAUAGUUCAAAGAUGACAUUUUUAUCUUCACAUAAGCUUGAAGAAAGUUUAAAAUAUGGCCUAAGGAAUUUUUAUUUUGCUAUAAUCUCCCUCCGCCUCCCCCCUCCCUCAAACCCCCACUCCUAUAAAUUUUUAAAUAUUUUUUAGUUCAAACUUUUGUGUUCACUCGCUUUUAAAUGUUUGAAACCACACAUUUUAUCAAACUCAGCAAAAUAAAAUGUCACAUAAGCUUAGUCAAAUCAGGAUAAGUAGAAGGGUCUCCUCGACCAUUCCGCCUCAACAAAUAAUAAAUAAGUAUUGACAAAAUGUCCAAAAUUCGUGAUUUUUUUCCUAAAAGAGCCACCUUCUACAAAUAAUAUAUAAGUAUUGACCAAAUAGCCAAAUAUCAUAAUAUUUUUCCUAAAAGAGUCACCUUCAACAAAUAAUAAAUAAUUAUUGACCAAAUAUGCAAAUAUCAUAAAAAAAAUAAUCUAAAAGCAAUCGUAUCUUAUUAAUUUCAUCCUUGUCUAUUUUCAAAAUUACUUUCCAUCUUCUUAAUUUAGGUAUCUAUGUAUAGUCCUCGAUAUUUCAAACCUCAAACAACAUUACUUCUCAACUAUUAUUCUUGAGUUUUCUUUACUAUUUUGUUUCUUAUAAUUCCUUUGAGAGUAUCUGAAAACAUGAUUGAUCAUGAGAUGAAGAAAAGAUCAGUCUUUCGUAAUGUUAGCUUCCGAAAUGAACCUUUUAAAGGUGAAGCUAACUAUUACACCAUUUAUAAUCCACAAGCGGUUAGUACAAAUCCUGCAGAAGAACCAAUUUGUGAUCGUCUUAACCAUAAAUACAAGGAGAUGCUACAUGGAUGGGUAGCUGAAAAGAGACAACGUGAAAACGGAUUCGGAGCAUUUGACAUGGUAAAUACAAUUUUUUGGAUUUAUUGAUCGCUACCAAUAUUGUGAAUUGUCCACUUAAUUAUUAUUGCUUGUUUUAUCUUUUCUUUUUCCUGAAAAAAAAAGAAAGAAAAAGAAUCACAACAUUUGUUGUGUAUGUUAGGCAAUAAUUCAACUUUAUUUUCUUAUUUCAAACUGGACUAGUAAACCACAAUUAUAUAUUGUAUAUUUUUCUUUAGUUGUUUAAAAUUUUGUGUAUAACUAGUUUUUAUCCUAAUUAAGGACCAAUGAAUCUCUAACCAAUGAUAUAUCAAGAAAAUGAAAGCUAGUAAUAUAAUUACUUUAUAAUGUUUGUAGUUUGUACUUUGUAAAGUCAUAUAUAUAGUUAGUUCUUAACAAAAAUCUUUGUUGGAUUGCAGUAUUACUAUAAUAAGAGCAAACAAUAUUGUUCUACUGUGGAGGUAAGAAAAUAUGUAUUCAGGGGUUUAUCAAAGCUUGAAGUUUAUCAAGAAGCCACUGAAGUAAAAGAGGUAAGCUCUUACAUUGCAUUUCUGCAAGAAGUGAUUUCCGUGACGACCUCCAAACUAUAUGACACUAACUUUUAUAGUCAUUUUAAGACACAAAGACAUUUACAUUAUUAUUAUUAUUAUUAUUUGUUUAUCCAAAGGUUGGGGCUAUUAUAAAGCACUCCAUGAAAAGAAAAGCUGAACAUUCUAUCUUGAAAAUAAAGUUUGCAACAAAGAAGCAGAAAAGCAACAACCACGGCAAGAGGGAGGUCAAAAAGUUUCUUGGUGAAGCAAUGAACAACCUUAUGUAUAGGGAUGUAAAACAAAAACAAGGUAAGUUAAUAUUAUGCUAGCUAUUAGACAAUGGUUUUUUAUUAAAAAAAACAACACUAUAGAAAAUAUAAGAAUUAUAAAUUGAUUAAUCUGUUACAACCCAGACCGUAGUGAGUGGUACCCACACUAACCCUCCGGUGGGAGAACCAAUUAUACUAAUUAUCUAACCAACUUAAUCAAAAUACUGAGGCAUUUAAAUAUACGAAAGCAGGUUUAAACGCUAAGGAAAAGAUAGGAAGUUCCCAUAAACUCCAACAAAAGUAUAACAACCAAAACUAACAUUGCGGAAAUAACGCCUAGAACCUGAAAGUCAAUGUACCAAAAUAUCUAAGUUCAACCAAAAGUCUAAAAAAGAAGGGGUACAACCCCAUACUGAACAUAAGAAAUCCUAAAGAGAUAGUCUAAGUCCGAAAUAGGUAUAUAAAAGAAAGAGAACUCAUGGUAGCCCGAAAGAACUGGCUCACCCUUGAAUUCGAACGAUCACUGAUCUUCUAAGCGAGGUCCGUCAAUAGCCGCCCGAAGAUGCCAUGUACUUAACAAAGAAAGAGCAAGUGCAGUAUCAGUACACAACCACAGUGUGCUGAUCGGAUCACAUGUCUAUCCCACUAAGUGUAACAUAUAUAAGUCAUUAUAACAUAUUAAUAACAUGCAUACACCGAACAUAUACAAUAUCAUCAUUAUUUACGAACAAAGUACAUUCUCACAUUUCUCGAAUACACUGUUACGACAAGUCAAUGGUCCUCUCAUGAAACCCAAACCCAAACUAUUAGCAUACCAAAACGUGGUACCCGAUCCGAUGUUUAUGCCGAAAUGUGGCAACCGAUCCCAUAUUUAUGCCAGAACGUGGCUAUCGAUCUAAGUUAGUGUGUCGGAACGCAACACUCAAUCCAUUCAACAAGUCACAAUAAUAAUCACAAGAAUAUUCUCAAAUCAUACAAUCAAGUCAUGAUUCAUGGCAUUUAGCAUUCAUCUAUCUCAUUUACAACUAGUGUGAUCAAUAAUGCAACAUUCGCAUACAUACACGAAUUAUAAUGAAAGAAGGAAAAACAUAUAUCACACAAUCAUGAAAUGAUAACCAUCACCUACCUCAAAACAAGCUUGAAUCCUCUAAGAAACUUGAUUCUUCCCUUUCCAGAUUCGUUCCACUUGUUCUUGGUCUACAAACAAUUAUAUAACACGAGAAUCAAUAAAUAAUAACUAAUUGCCCGAAUUACCAACAAGUCUAUCAACUCUAGAUCAAACCCAUGAUCCCAAUAUCAAAAUUAUGGCUAUACCUACCAUAAUUUCUAGAUCAAAACCCUUCCCCAUCGAUAAUUACCUAUGAAACUAAGAUCUACGGAUCAAAAAACGGAUUCAGGGAGUGAAAAUCUUACCUUUCACCUCAAGAAUGGUGGAAAAAUCUCAAGAAAAUACCUGGGUUGUUCCUCAGCUCUCAAAGUGCAGAAUAAAAUGUUUUUACGAUUUAUUUCUGACUUAAGUAGCGUAUGUCCCACCACAACGGUACUUACCCCGCUACAGCGGCCCCGCCCUGGCGAAAAAAUCCCGCCUUAGUGGCUUCCAUGGAACUAGUGAGUAAAUUUAAUAAUUUUAAAACCCCCAUUUCACAACACAACUUUAACCAAUGACACUCAGAAACUACCUGUUCAUGCUAAGAUUAAUUUCGGGAGUUCUACUCCCCCGAAUUCAAUCUUGUAAAGUCGUACAAGUUUCUUAAUGUAUUAGCUAUCUACUCAUGUGAUCAAAAUCAUCAUUAAAUCACCCAAUUUUUACCAAAAUUCCCUAGACUUUACUGACUCCGAUUUCGUCCAAUUCUAUACUAAGUUGGGAAAUUCCAAGUUACUAUGAAAAAGUUACCUGACCCAAAAUUUUUCCCCAUUGGCUUUUCAAUAUUGACGGGAACCAAUAGUUAAAACAGAUACAAAUUUAUCCAUCACUCGUCCCCUAGUGACAAACUUAGAAAAAAUAGGCUAAAGAAAGAAUGGAGUAGUACCUGAAUCAAUGA